rnacentral:lncRNA from 1 species
UUUGGAUUGUUUAGCUAAAUCCCUAUGGCUUCGUUUGGUUCGGGUAUAAAUAAAAACUAUUUAUUUCAGAGAUAGGUAUAAGUCUAAAUAUAAGCGAGAAUUACACCAAUUUUAUAUUUAGAUAAAAAUUAAAUUGUUCUCGAGAAUAGAAAAAUUAGUGUUUGGAUAUAUAAAAUGGAACAAGAAGAAUAAUAGAUAGUUAUAAAUAGAAAAUAAUAAUAUUAUACCUCUCAUUAUAUUUAAAUUUAAAUUUUUAAAUUUUAUAUUUAUAAUUUAAAAUUUAAAAUUUUAACUUUUAAAUUUUAAAANAAAUUUAAAAUUUUAAAAUAUUAAAUUUAAAAUUUAAAAUUUUAAAAUAUUAAAUUUAAAAUUUAAAAUUUUAAAAUAUUAAAUUUAAAAUUUAAAAUUUUAAAAUAUUAAAUUUAAAAUUUAAAAUUUUAAAAUAUUAAAUUUAAAAUUUAAAAUUUUAAAAUAUUAAAUUUAAAAAUUUAAAUUAUAAUUUAUAACAAAAAUCUCUCUUUCUCUCCCCCUCCCCCUCUCUCUCUCUCUCUCUCUCUCUCUCUCUCUCUCUCUCUCUCUCUCUCUCUCUGUAGCAGCGGGGGUGGAUGGAAACAAGCUUGGUGGGAACAAGCUUGUUUCCAUCCUGGGUGGGAACUAUUAUGUUCCCAAUCCAAAAACUAUCUAUAGAUCGAAAAGCUACAAUUUCAUGGAUAGUAGGAUUCAAAUGCCAAAAAGGAGAUCAAUGAUUGGUGGAUACUUGGUAUACAAACGUUGAGAUAAACCGGGUGUAGCCAAUAUUUCUUCUUCCUAUAAAUAAGGAUUCUAGGAUAGGGAUUAAAUGAAAUAUUUAAAAAGUGUAAGGUCUCAAAUAUUAAACUCAAAAAAGUUUAAAGACUAAAAAUGACACUUAUACGAAAGUUCAGACACUAUUAACGGUGCAAUUUACUUUAACAAUGUAAUUAAAAGUUGAGAGAAAUGUUUUUGAAAUGGCCUACAAUUUAUCUGAAAAUCUAUAAAAACCUAUAAAAAUCGUAAGCGUGACAUUGAUCUCGACACCGAAGCCACAAGAACACUCAAAACUGUUACUCAGAAAAUCGCUCUCCAAAUUCGAGCUGCAAAAAUGAGCAGCGUUCGCCUCCCUCAACCCACUUCUCUUCCCACCCGAACCCCCGCCAUUGCUCCUCCCACCACCACCCAGCCGAGCUCUCCACCUCUCCUCCUCAAAACCCUAACCCAUGGCCAACGCCGAACCCACUGGGCCUCGACAAUCCGUCACCAUUUCCGUAACAAUGACCACCGCAGUUGCAUCGCUUCCUACCACCAUAUGCUCGACGAGAACAUCGCGCCGAACCCCAAAACCCUAGCCCUCGUUCUCAAAGCUUGCGCCUCUUUACGUGACCUCAGAGCCCUGAGACUCCUACACAACGACGCCCUGCGCUUUAAAUUCGACUCUAAUGCUCCUGUGGCCGCAGCGCUUCUUGAUGGGUACUUCGCGUGCGGGUCGCCUGCGUUGGCCCACCAACUGUUCGAUAGAAUGCUUCACAGAGAUGUCGUUUCUUGGACCGUCGUUAUUUCACGCAGUUACAAAGAUGGGCUCUUUGAUAAGGCGGUGCGCUGCUUUAAGGCAAUGGUGGAAGAGGGCGUGGCUCCGGAUGAGGUCGCGCUGAUUAGCAUAUUGUCGGCGGUGACUUGUUCGGGUUGGUUGUGUUACGGUCAUGAAGUCCAUGCGUAUUUGAUUCGGAAUUGCUUCAAAUAUGGCAAAGCUCUGGCCACUAACAUCGUAAACAUGUAUUGUAAGCUUGGGAGAAUCAAGUACGCCGACAGGAUUGUGCAAACGGAUGCUCGGGACGAUGUAGGAGCAUGGACUGCGCUCAUGGCGGGCUAUAUUGCGUCGAGCGACUUGUACCCUGCAUUGCUUGUAUAUCAGAAGAUGACAAAUUUGGGAAUUGAGCCUUCGGAAAAAACCAUCAGUUGUGCUCUAAGAGCUGUUUCCCAUCUGGGUUCCCUUUCUCUUGGGUGUCAGAUACAUGGUUUCGUAGUAAAGCAACAGUUUGAAUUAGACAAUCACAUAGUAAGCAGUUUAAUUGACAUGUACAGUGUGUGCGGGGCUCCCGCUCGGUUGUGUCGCCAGAUGUUCGAUGAAAUGCCCAUGAGAGAUGUGGUUUCAUGGACUACCAUGAUAUUGGCCUAUAGCCGGUCCGGAGAGGGACAUGCUGCAGUUCAAUUAUUCAAUGAAAUGCGAAUGUCCGGCGUUCCACCUGACUCUGUUGCAUUCAUUGCUGUUCUCUCCGGUUGUAGCUCAUCGGGCUUGCUAUGUGAAGGAUUUAUGCUCUUCAAUUCGAUGGUUCUAGAUUACGGAAUAGAACCGACGGAGGAACACUUUGCUUGCCUGAGAAACUUGAUAACCAAGGAUGGGAAGUUAAAAGAAGCAUAUGAAGCAAUUGAAGAAAUGGGCAUUAAAGAUAAGAGCAGCAUUUGGCAAGCUUUCUUAGGGGCUUGCAGACUUCAUGGAAAUGUGAGUUUUCGCGAAAUUGCUGAAAGAAAACUGCUGAAUAUGGAUCAAGGUGAUGGUUCAGCAUGAUGAUUUUUUUUAUUUUUACACGUGAAAAAAAAUUAUUUGCUAUAACUAUUUUUUCCUUUUAAAUGUGUAUAGAGAAAUACACGAACUUAACAAUUCAAUGUUGUCUUAUAACAUUCCAUCAGUGUUCAGAUGCAUGUGAUGGUAUUUUCUCCCUUCUCUUGCCUAAGUUUAAAACACUGAGAGCUGUGCUUUAUUGCUCAAGUUUCUACUUCUCUCUGGGCGUAAAAUAAGCAAUUAUUUCGCUACUGGAGAAUUUUAUUCCAUAAAAUUGAUAAUAUUUUAUGUGUCGGUCCUAUCUCUUUGCAUUGUCAAAGUUAGUGUUUUGUUUGGUCGCACGAAAAUUUUAAUUAGCAUAUCUUUUUGAUUUUAGUUAAAAAGCUUAAUAGUAUUUGAUAGACGAGGAAUACAAUAAAAUGUUUCGAGUUGAUAUUAUGUUUGAUUUUGAAGUCAUAUUUUCCGAAUAAGAUAGGUUAAUACGGCGUCCUAUCAAAUUAUAAAUAUUAUUAUUUUUUAAGAAAAAAAAUUAAACUCCUAAUUUUCAAUCAUAUAAAAAAAUAUAUAUAUACUGAAUAAAUUAUUAUUAAAUAUUUUAUUCUGAUAUCCAAUACAGCAUCUCAAUAAAACAGACCUAUAUAGCUUGUUAGACGACUAAUGACUAAGCCUCAACUAGUCCGACUCUUUUUUAGCAAGUUGGGUCCGGCUUAGGUCAGUUUGUCAGUUGUAACUACGUUUAAAUUUAAAAAUCUUAUUUAGCUCCACAUAGUUGCAUCUACCUAUAUGUUGUAGUUGGAUUAAAGAUCCAAUUGCAUCUCGAAAAAGUCACACAAGUGGAAAAGAGUAAUUUGGUAAGGGAUAGCUUUAUCUAUCUACUCAUAUAUUAAAAUUAAAAAGGAAUAAAUUUUUAAUUCUUAGGUAAUCUUAUCAUACCAUGUGUAAGAUAAUAAAAUUUGUUUCUCUCAAAAAAAAAAAAAAGAUAAUAAAAUUUGUGGAUGCAAUUUUCAACCAUGAGCAAUCAAGUAAAAAAGUUAUAGUUAUAUUACUGUUAAUUACAUACUGUCAAACGGAUUAGCUGUAAAUAUGCAAAGUAUAUGUCUAACUAUAUGCAUUUCUAAUAAUAUGAUAUUUAUAAUUUCAUGAGAUCAAGCAAUCUCUUCAAUCAAAACUUUCAACUGAGAAAGGACUCGAAGUAGACAAUAAAAUUGGCUUAUGAGAUAAUUUCAAGGGUUAAUAAAUUUAGGGUGCAUAAAUAAAACAAGUAUCCUAUCUUGUUUGUCCUCCCAUUGGAUUUAGGGCUAGCAAUCCAACUCGUUGUUCGCGAGACAGUUUGUGUUCGUGUGAAAUUUUUUUCAACUCUUUCCGAAAUCAAAAUAGACUCCUGCCGUACCCUGCCUCCCUAGUGGAGUCAUUUUAGCCCCUUUUUUUUAAGCUCACACUUCCUUUGAUGUUCUGAAUUGGGUAUCAAUUUUGCAUUCGGAAGAAAAUUAGGUUAUUUCCGGAAAUAAAAAAAAUAACGACCUGAACCUUCACUGGCUGACGUGCCUACUCCAAUGAGUCUAUCAUACGGUGGUGCAGAGUGCUUGCUGCAGCUCCAGCUACUAAAGCCAACCAAUAGAUCUGUUCAUACAACAAUAUUCCAACUCGUCUUCCUGCUCCAGUUUUUUCUUUAUGCCUUCGUUCAAUUUCCUGCGCAAGUGAGACAUUCUCCAGAAUACUUCUUCCUUUCACAAAGGCUCCUUGAUGUUGGGAUAUAAUCCUAGGUAGGAUGCUGCUCAAUCGAUCAUUGAAGAGGCGUGCAAUGACCUUGUAAAGAAAAUUACAUAGACUAAUUGGCCUAAAUUUCUUAAGCCUGGCAGGCCUUCUCAAUCUUCUAGAACACCUAUGGUCAUUGGGGAAGAUUCCGAUGAAUCAGAAGAUGAAGAGCUUUUGAUUUGUCAAGAUUCUACUCCAAUUUAAAGUGACUCAGAAGACGAGCCUCUUCUUUUAUUGACGUCAAGUCGAGCUGAUAUCCCCGCUCAUGAAGACGAGCAGGAGGAAUCCGAGAAAGAAAAUGACCCAAAUCACACUCCUUUACUUGAGAAUGGGGAGGUUAAUGAUGUGGCCCCUGCUUUCUCAAUCCAAUCUCGUCAAGGAAUCGAUAUACUCACUUGAUUGCUAUGCUGCUUUCUAUUCUUGCAAGUUAGGGACACGGAGAGGCAUCGCUCAUCCCUUAUCUAAUAAUAUUCACUGGACCAAUUCUCCGAAAGUUAAUAAUCGUAGAUUGAUCACUGAACCUCCCACUGAUGCCGGUUGAACUGCCAAAAACGUUGAAACACACUCGUGCUCGGCCUGCAGCAAAGUUCCGCAGGUUAACUUGGCAAUCUAGAUAUCGGCUAGGUGGGAGACGAGACGGCAGUGAUUGGUCUGUUAAAAAGUCGGGGCACCACAUGUUGGGAGGGAAGAGAACUCACAACAAACAAACAAACGAAUCUAAAAANAAAUUUUUAAAAUAAGAAUAGGGGUGGGAACAAUUAGUAAAAAUAAUUUAUUAUAAUAAAUUUAUAAAUUUGAUAAAAAUAAAUUUUUUUAAUAAAUUUAUAAAGUUUUUAAAAAUUCUACUUAUACUUAAAUUUAAGAAAAGUAAUUUAUUAUAAUAUUUAAAUAUAAUUUAUUAUAAAAUUUAUUAUAAUAUUUAAAUAUAAAUAAUAUGUAUUAAUAUAGUAAAAAUUAAUAAUUUUAUAAUAAAAAUAAUAUAUUAUAAUAUAUAAUAUAUAAUAUUUAUAUAAUUUGGUUUUAAUUUAAUUUAUAAUUUUAAUAAAGUUUGAAACUAAAUAUUGGAAUAGCACUAUUCCACCGAAAUGGUGGAACAGUAAAUAACAAGCUAUUCCAGAAUAGCUGGGAAUAGCAAGGUUUGAUCAGGAUAAAAUAUUUCGGCCAAAAAUUAUUCUAUUUGGUGGAAUAGCGCGCUUAUACCCCGAAUCAGAACCAAACGGGACCUUAAUAAAUAAUGUUCGAAAAGUAAUUGUGAGUUGUAGAUUCAUCUAUUAAAUAAAUAAAUUUAUUUGAAGAUGGAUGAAGUGAAUUAAUUAAAAUAAAUCUAUAUACCCAAACCACAAAAUACAGCAACAAGAUCAUGUAAAAUUUGCUCACCUAUUAUGUAGGUGAGUAGGUCUAUGAUUUGUAUUUUAAUCUUUAAAAAUCUAUAAUUUAUUCAUUUGUUGCAGUAAUUUUUCAAUGCUGGAGUUCAAAAGAGUUUGUUAAAUUAUAAAAUUAUAGUGUAAGAGCUAUGCAAGUGUAUAAAAUAUUUUUGUGGUUGCUGUGAAAAGUAAUUGUCAGUUGCUUGGUGUGCAAGAUUUUAAGACUUGAACUUAGGCAGUGGAUGACUUGGACUUCUUUUGUUUUUUCCUUGAAAACAAAAGACUACCAUCAUAUCUAAUAAUCGUACCAUAAAAUUUUCUCAAAAGCGAUCUUUCUUUAAUACCAAUAGUAGGGGACAAAAAUUUUAUGGACAGCGUGUCCAUAAAGAAUAAUUUGAGGAUGUACGGAUUGGCGCCGAUGGCACCCGAGCCACGCGGGGCUCAUCGGCCCUGCUGCUCUCCCUUUUGGGAUAGCGGUGGGACUGUUUUCGUGCACCCGAUGCAUCAUUUUUAUUCUAAAAUUUUAUUUUUUAUUUUUUAAUUAUAAUUUAAUAUAAUAGAGAUAUAUACUAUGAUUUUUAAAAAUAUGUGUAAAAGAAUUUUGAAUCCUGAAUUUUAAAUUCUUUUAUAUUUAUUUUUAAUAUAUAUAUAUAAUUGAGCUCCUCCUAUAUUUUUAAAAGUAUCAAGUAAUUGGUACUUGUAACUUUUUGGCAGUCAGACUAUAUAUAUAUAUAUAUAUAUAAUUUAAAAUUAAAAAUAAAAUUUUUAAAGUAAAAAAUGGUGCACCAGGUGCACCAAAAAAAUACUGUUGCUCUAGGCGCAUAGAAACUAAAUCAUCAUUAAAAUUGAUGCAGGCCUAGUAUAAUAAAAAGCACUAAGGGCUGUGCAAACCGAGCGAGCCGGCUCUGCGGUUCGACUCGAGUUUCGGCUCGAUAUUGUGCUCGCUCCGGGAGCUUCAGACUCGAAAUAAAAAGCCGAGCUUGGAACAAAAUAAAAGGCUCGAAAUUCAUUUCAAGCCGAGCUUGAGUAUUACUCGGCUCGUUCGAAUUAGGCUCGAAAAGCUCGAAAAUCUCGAAUAUAUAUAUAUAUAUAUAUAUAUAUAUAUAUAUAAUAAUAUAUAUAUAUAUAUAUAUAUAUAUAUAUAAUAUAUAUAUAUAUAUAGGCUGGGACUACUAUACUCUUAUGAGUAUAGACCCCUUUGUACUCAUAAAUUUUUAACCGUUGAUUGAUGGGAUGUGUGGUUAGGAUGAUGGUGGUCCCCACUUAGAAUGAUAGUGGUCCCCUAGGGUUGAGUGGGUAGUUGGUUAAAUAGUAUGAUCUAACGGAUGAAAAUGAUUAAUGGAAUAAAUCUAAGGGUCGAAAACUUAUGCCACUGUUUGGUUGGGGGUUAAGGGGUGGAAUAACCCCUUAACCCCCAAUUUAUACCCAAACACCACUCUUUUAGGGUGGGGUUAGUAAACCCCACCCCAAACCGGGUUAGCGGGGUUUACUAACCCCACUCUCCCUCCCAACUUUAACCCCGCACGCAUCCUGAGCCCUCACCUUUUUCUUCUUUAUCAAUCAUUAACCCCACUCCGCCACCCAACUUUAACCCCGUACGCAUCCUGAGCUCUCACUUUUUUCUUCUUUAUCAAUCAUUAUCUUCUUAUCCCACCUACUCCAAACAAACACUUUUUUUCACUAUCCUAGACUAACUCUAACCUCCAACCAAACACAAAAAAAUUUUAACACCAUUUUAAUCCUGAACUUAACCCUAUCCCUGGAAUAGUUUGUCACGCCCCAGGGGCCGAUUUUAAAAACCUUUUAAAAACAGAGUUGCGGAAAACGUGCCAUUUUUUUUUUUUCAACCUGGCCCACGCGACGUACAGACCCGCCACAAAUACAAAGUUCCUCUGUCCACUCGGACAGAGUCUCCUUUGUAUUUGCACGGCGUACCAGCUAUACAANCUGCGGGAGAGGAUGUUCCACUUCUCGCGCGAGGCCGUCGCGAGGCUGAAGGCGAGGGCGAACGAGGAGUGCGGGCGAGGCGACUUGUCGUCGUUCCAGUCGCUGACCGCGCUCCUUUGGCGCGCCGUCACGCGCGCGCGGGGCCUCGCGCCUGGGCAGGCGACGAGCUGCCGCGUGGCCAUCGAAAACCGAGCGCGGCUGCGGCCGCCGCUCGCGAAGGAGUACUUCGGGAACUCGAUAUACGUCGUCGCCGCGUCGGCCACGGCGGGCGAGCUCCUCGCGCAGGGAAUCGGGUGGGCCGCGGCGCUGGUGAACCGGGCCGUGGCGGAGCACACGGACACCGAGAUCAGGGCUAAGGUCUUGUUUAAACCAACCGAUCGAGUUGAAAUUUUAAUUUGCAUUUUAUCUUCGCGUAGAAAUUUUCUCUAGUAAAUACUAAUGUAGAAGAUCGAUUAUUAAGUUGCUGGAAAACGGUAACAGUAAUAUUUUUUGUACUUGGCAGUUGGGGGCAUGGAUGGCGCGGCCCUUUGUGUACACGCUCCGCGAGUUUGACGAGAACAGCGUGAUGGUGGGGAGCUCGCCGCGGUUCGACAUGUACGGGUGCGAGUUCGGGUGGGGGAGGGCGGUGGCGGCGCGGAGCGGCGGGGCGAACAAGUUCGACGGAAAAAUAUCGAUGUAUCCGGGUUGGGAGGGAGGGGGGAGCAUGGACGUGGAGCUGUGCUUGGUCCCGGAGAACAUGGCGGCGCUCGAGAGGGACGAGGAGUUCAUGGGCGCCGUGUCACCGCCCGUGGAGAUGGAGGUGCUGCUCGAGGGGAUUAAUUAACGGGAGAUGCAUGCUGACGAGAUUGAUCGAGCUGGGCAUUAGUAAUGCUGGAUCUACAGCCACCACUAGUGUUUUCUGUAAUAUUAAAAUUUCAAAAGAUUUAUAAUAAAUUUGAGGAGGGAGGAUGACGGUCUCUUCAUGAAGAAGUAAGUACGUUGUUAAUCUAAUGGUCCUUUUUGAAUUGUUGGCCAACUUUAAUCAGUCUGUUGUCUGCAUAGCUUGAAGAGUACUAGUCACUAGAAGAUUCUGAAUUGGAAUUAUGUCAGAUUGUAAUAUAUAAAAUUUUUAAUUUUCUCCGUACGUGCCGAGUUACUAACAUUAUUAAUUAUUAAAUUAAUUUCCUCCAUCUAAAUUAUUUGUCACGUGUCCGCGAACUUAUCUCCUUUGAUGCCAAUCUUUUGCAUCUAUUGUUUUUUUUAAUAUUUUAUUUAUUUUUAUUAUUUUAAAUUAAUACCAUUCCGUUAGGAAAAGUCCCACUUACUCACCAACCUCGCAACUACGGAGCCUUGACCUCGGACUAGAUCGUGCCAAGUGGACCGAACGUGUUGUAUUUUUUAUUUAUUUUUGUAAAACUGUUAGAACCCCCUCGCCUUUAAACUGUUUCAUUGAGUAUAUAAUUUAAAAUUUAAAAUUUNNNNNNNNNNNNNNNNNNNNNNNNNNNNNNNNNNNNNNNNNNNNNNNNNNNNNNNNNNNNNNNNNNNNNNNNNNNNNNNNNNNNNNNNNNNNNNNNNNNNGGAGGGGUCUGCAAGGACGGCGCAGCCCGGGCCUUCAACAAACCCGAGAGGGAGCAAGGAGAGAGAAAGGAUGGAGAAAGAAUGGAGAGUGUAGAGAGGAGAGCUCCGGCACCGGCGGCGUGCUCAGGUGGUCGGGAGCGCGCGCAGAGCGGUGAGCAGUGGAAUGUCGGGAGGCGGCUAAGGGCUAGCGGCAAGCUUAGGUUAGGGUUAGAUGGCUCCAAACCUACGAAAACAACUAUAUAGCGGGUUGCAACAAAGCAUGAAAGCCCUCAUAACAUCGGAAUUUCAAUCCGGUCCCUCACAUCUACGACUUAAAAGCAAUGAAUUGCCCCUCACAGCUGCGAUUCCCUUGCGAAACGGUACAUAAAAUAUCGCGACUUUUGCGAAAAUACCGUUUGCACCCGGGACCUUCCCGAUCAACGCGCGAUUCCGCCAGAUCUGUCAGUCAGAUCAGCCGAACGGCAUCACACCUGCGAUCAGCACGACAGACAACAAAGCUUGCGAUUUCGUUUCGUUUUGUCGACCACGAAUGACGACAAAAUCCAACUUCUAUCGUGAAUAGAAGGAAACACACACAUAAAACAUAGUAAACAUGUAUUUUUGAGAUUUUCUCGAAAAUCCGUUGUGUCAAAACUGAAAUCCGUCAGCGUCAUUGGUUCCAGAACAGCUGACUCCGGUUGAAACGACAUCAUUGGACUACUAUGAACAGAGUCCCGGUACGAGCCAGAAGCCAACCUCCCCGUGCUUCUCCCGGAAAAAUCAAGUUACUAUUUCACUUUUAGUGAAACUUGGAACAUCGCGUAGAAUUCCGUUUUUAACUCGUUUCACCCGAAACUUGACGAGUGCUUUUGUAAUUAAAUUACACACAAAAAUAUCGUAACUGAGAGUUUAGCUACACUGCUAAAAUCUCAGUGCUUACAUAGCUACUUUUUCUUAACCCGAACAAACGGGGGCUAUGAUAUAAAGGAGCCAAUACUCAUAAAAGUAUAGUAGGCGCGGACUCAUAUUAAUCUAUAUAUAUAUAUAUAUAUAAUAUUUAUAAAUAUAAUGUAUUUUAAUUAUAUAUAUAGGCUUUAAUUUAAUUUGGGCCAUUAUUCUUGACCCAUAAAAUAAACCCAACAAGUACAACCGUGCAAUUAAGCCCAAUUCUAAAUUUACGUAACACACUCUCUCUUUCAGAUUUUCACUGUUGCACAUAAUCCUAAAACAUGAUAACAUUCAAAUUACCCUUAUCUAGUCAGGAAGUCACCCUAGCUCACAUUUCUUAUAAUUAUUUUGUAUUUUGAACUAUUGGACAUGUUGCAUCAAAUUGUAGGUAAUGUUCUAUAAAAAUUAAACUAUUGAUUAUAUAAUGUCGAGAAUUUCAAUCUGCUCGUUUAGAGCUCGAGCUCGGCUCGACUCGAAAUUAGGCUCGCUCGAGCUCGCUCGAAUUAAUUUCAAGCCGAGCUUGAGCCUAGAAUAUUUAGACUCGAAAUUAAUUUCAGGCCGAAUUUGAGCUGACAUAAGCUCGCUCGAGCUCGGCUCGUUUCCACCCCUAAUAAAGACCUAACGUAAUCCUUACUUCAGUCAACAUAAAAAACAAAAGAAAAAUAGUUUUUUGACCAACAAUUUAUGAGCGGACUAGGUGCGUUGCAUAUUAUAAUAAAUUUUUAAAAAAUAAAAAACUGCAUAUGCUAAUCAAAGUUCUGGAUAGUUUAACACAUAAAUGUUAUAUAAAAGAAUAUUAUUUUGAAAAUUUUGUAGAACAAGAUGUUAUUCAAUUAUUAAUGAUGUAAAAAGUAUUUUUUAAAAAAAUCAUAUAAUAUAUUAUUAUUUUAUUAAAAUUUUAAAAUAAAUUUAUUUAAAAAUAUGAAUUACCAAAAAUUCGAAUAUGCGAGGUCAAGCAUCAAUUAUUAAUUUCAUUCUCAACUUCACUGGAGAUGUCGGCAGUGUAAUGUGUUGAACUAUAAAUACGAGGCUCAAGAAACAAGCAGAGAACAUGCUCGAAACCAACCCCGCUCGCUCAGGAAAUCGGUCGAACACCUCACGGGUGAGCGAAAGAUGCCUUAUUCACGGCCCUCCCCCACCGUUCAUACCAUCUCCACAUGCACCGUGAAACCCCCACCCCGUCCCCGCCGUAUAUGCCAUCUAACGCCGUGGGACAUCGCCAUGCUCUCCACCCACUACAUCCAAAAGGGCCUCCUCUUCGCCAAUCCCCCUUCCUCCUCCUCUCUCAACCCAAAACAACUCAUCGAGCAACUCAAAUCCUCCCUCUCCGUCGCUCUCCUCCAAUUCUACCAGCUCGCCGGCCGCCUCGUAACCGAGGAGGAUCGUGAUGCCGACGGCGAAGUCAAAAGCACGUCGGUGUACAUCGAUUGCAAUGGCCAGGGCGUGGAGUUCGUCCAUGCGGCCGCCGACAGAAUUAAAGUUGCUGAUGUGUUGGCAUUAUCAGGCGACCUGCCUAAGUUUCUGCAUGAUUUUUUCCAACUCGACGGGGCUGUCAACCACCACGGUCAUUUUAGCCCGCUGCUCAGCGUGCAGUUGACCGAGCUGGCGGAUGGCGUGUUCUUGGGAUGCUCGUUCAAUCACGUUGUCGGAGACGGCACGUCCUACUGGAAAUUCUUCAACGCCUGGGCCGAGAUCGCGCGAGCCGCCGACGGCGGCGGCGGCGGCCUCUCCCGCCCUCCGGUCCACGACCGCUGGUUCGUCGACGGCUACGGCGCCCCUCCUCUCAAGCUACCACUGACGGAUCCGAGCCGCUUCCUCGAACGGUUUGCUCCGCCGCCGCUGCGGGAGAGGAUGUUCCACUUCUCGCGCGAGGCCGUGGCGAGGCUGAAGGCGAGGGCGAACGAGGAGUGCGGGCGAGGCGACUUGUCGUCGUUCCAGUCGCUGAGCGCGCUCCUUUGGCGCGCCGUCACGCGCGCGCGGGGCCUCGCGCCGGGGCAGGCGACGAGCUGCCGCGUGGCCAUCGAAAACCGAGCGCGGCUGCGGCCGCCGCUCGCGAAGGAGUACUUCGGGAACUCGAUAUACGUCGUCGCCGCGUCGGCCACGGCGGGCGAGCUCCUCGCGCAGGGAAUCGGGUGGGCCGCGGCGCUGGUGAACCGGGCCGUGGCGGAGCACACGGACACCGAGAUCAGGGCUAAGGUCUUGUUUAAACCAACCGAUCGAGUUGAAAUUUUAAUUUGCAUUUUAUCUUCGCGUAGAAAUUUUCUCUAGUAAAUACUAAUGUAGAAGAUCGAUUAUUAAGUUGCUGGAAAACGGUAACAGUAAUAUUUUUUGUACUUGGCAGUUGGGGGCAUGGAUGGCGCGGCCCUUUGUGUUCACGCUCCGUGAGUUUUACGAGAACAGCGUGAUGGUGGGGAGCUCGCCGCGGUUCGACAUGUACGGGUGCGAGUUCGGGUGGGGGAGGGCGGUGGCGGCGCGGAGCGGCGGGGCGAACAAGUUCGACGGAAAAAUAUCGAUGNAUCAUUCUCGGUGGUGUUUUUCAUUGUUUAACGUUGAGUGGUGUUGAGUGGACCUUUAUAAUAUUUGAACAGAUGACUGGCAAGGUUCGUGUCAAUGAAUUCCUAAUCUACUAAUAUAGGUUCGAGGGUUCCAAUUGUAGAUUAAUAAAAUAUGCAGCUUGACUUCAAUGAUGAUCUUUUAACUUUCUUAGAUUCAUUUUAUGAAAAAAAAAGAGUUUUUUUAAUUAUAUCUCAAUAUAAAAAUAUAUCUCGUUAUGAUAGAUAUAUGGAUUUUUCAUACGCAUGUAGAAUAUGGAUGAUCUGGUUAUCUAUCCUUAGCGAAUGAUCAGUGAACUGGAUUGAUCGCUUUUGUAAGGUGGAUAACUACCUAACUUAUAUUCUAUAUGUGAUAUUAACCCUACAUAUUUAUCAUAAAUAAAAAAUAUAAAAUUUUUAUUAACGAGGAGUUUACGACUAAAAAUGACAUUAAAAUAUGGUAAUGUUUUUAUCUUUUAUUUUUGUGUUUGGAUUAAAGUUUGACAGAAAUAAGUUGCGGUUUUCACCUGGUCAGAGUAAUCAGCACUGAUCAUGAAAGGGUCUUAGCAGUUCGAUUGAUCUGUUGUCCUCUUUUCAACCUCGGUUGUUAGGUUUUUAUUUGGUAUUCUAAUUGUUGAAUGAAGAAGAACUGAUCAUGAGAAGGUCUUAGAAUUUCGAUACAUCUGUCGUCCAUUUUUUUUUUUUUCAAUCUCGGUUGUUAGACUUUUCAUGGUAUUCUAAUUGUUACAUGAAGAAGUAGGUCUUUGACAAUAGGAGAGAGGAGUUUAAAUAAUAUUAAGAAAACUUUAAAAUUAUAAUGUCCUUUGUCAUCGCCACCACCAUCUAGGUGGCAAUGAUUACGGGUCGAGUUAGAGCAGUCGUAGAGGGUAAUUAAUUAGGGGGACUCGUCGUGGAGGUAGGGGUGCCCCCCACUGUGCCGCGGGUACUUGAGGAGCAGGGAGAGGUCGCGACGGUACAUGAGGCCCUAGUUCGUGUCGAGGUGCAGGUGCGAGGGGGGAGGGACAACUUUAUAGUAUUGGUGGAGAAACUUUUGAAAGCACUAAAAUUUAUGCUUGUAAAAUAUAAAAAUAGUUGCGAAACGAGAAUAUAAAAAGUUUGUUAUUUGCAUACCAUUCAGUUGUAGCAAUUUUUACAAAGUUUUGCUCCAAAAUUGAUAGCUGAAAAUUUCAAACCUUAAAAUUUUCUUAAUCAAAUUAAGAGCUAUAUAUUAUAUUAUUUAAAAUAUUAGUAAGUUGUGCAGAUUAAAUUUAAAUUAUCAUGAUAAAUAUCAAGUUAGAAUUUAGUUAGAUUUUUUUUUGAAAAAAAAAUGUAACAUGCUAUCCGCUUCAUUUAAUAAAAGUAUGAACUAGUUAGGCUACAUUAAUCGGGCAACAAAACCUCACGAAGAGACAAAAAAGAGAGGGAGAGAGAGAAACAACAAAUGGCAGACCUCCAAAAAAAAAAAAAGAAGGAGAAAUCCAAAAACAAAAAUAAAUCUUAUUUGAGUAAGAUUAAUAUUUAAAUCUGUUAGAGAUAAAUUAAAAUUUAAAUAUUAAUUAGAGUAAAAAUUUAAUUAGACUUAUUUAGAUACCUUUUUAUAUAAGUUAUAAAUAUAGCAUAUGUGCUAGUACUUUGGUGGUGGUGGUAUGAAUUAGCACCCAUAUGGUAUGACCAAGGCGGUCAUGAUUUUGGAUGUACCUAGUACAUGGGUGCAAAAGGACGUGUGCGACUUUCUUAACCGCAGGUCAUUGAUACACCUUGUGCACGAGUGCACAGGAUGGGACAGAGGCCUUCUGAAUUUAUAGAAAACGAGAGAAGGGUGAGAGAGAUUCAAAAAGAGAACUCGGAUUGAAGUUGCUCUAUUGUAAAAAAGGAGUUAGAUGUAAUCUUUUUUUACUUAGUAAAUUUUAUUUUACUCACAUAUUUUUUUAUUUGAUUUUUUUCUUUUUUGUGGUUGUAUCAGUUUUCGCGAAUGAAACGAAUUUAUGAUAAAAACUCGAUUUAAUGCUUUCAUUAUAAAAUUCCAACAUUCGAUAUCGGAUCAACAACAAUUGGUAUAAGAGUGGGUUACGAAUUCUUAAAAUCUAAUACCAGAACGAAUGCUAAAUUUCCAACAUACAAAAUGUCACCUAUCUUUCUGUUACUGCAUAUCCCCUGAAAACACAACUGCAAGCAAAGUGGAAUGAGAGAUGCCUUAUUUCUAAGAGAGAGAAAUUAAUUCCUUGCGUACGCCCCAAACCCAAAAAAAAAAAAAAAAAAAUUGACAUAUAGAAUUUAGUCUUACUUUAAAAAAAUAUAUAUAUUUAUUAGAUAUUCUCUCUCAUUUCUUUGCUUGAAUACUAUGUGAACUUUAAUAUAUAUAUAUAUAUAUAUAUAUAUAUAUAUAUAGAGUGAGGCUACUAUGCUAUCGAAAGUACGGAGCCUUCCGUGCUUUCAGCUCAUUUUCGAUGUUGCGGCUUUCGAAUCGUCGAUCAGCUCCGUUAAACUUGAUCUAGAGUAUUUGAAAUACCUAGAAAAUAAAUUUUAUGAUUUUACGAUAUCAUUUACCUAGUGAACGAAGGGGCUCAAAUUCAACGGCUGAAAAUAAAAAUCUUAUAAAAUGUAAUAAUAUGACAUUAAAAUUUUAAAUCAAAGAUAUUGAUCUUGUUUUAUAUAGUAUAAAGAAUUUUCUAUCAAAAUUUCACGUGAUUUGGAUAUUUCUACACCGUUAAACUUGCAAACGGCUCACUACGGCCAUUGAAAUUUAUUGAUUUUGAGCCCAUUCGAUUAUUAGGCAAAUGAUAUCGAAAAAUAAUAAAAUUUAUUUUCUAGGUACUCCAAAUACUCUAGAUCAAGUUUAACGGAGCCGAUUGACGAUUCGAAAGUCGUAACAUCGUAACGAGCUGGAAGCACGGAAGGCUCCGUGCUUCCGAUAGCAUAGUAGUCUCACUCUAUAUAUAUAUAUAUAUUUCGAUGAUGUACGGAAAGUUAAAUCCUGAUGGUUAUGUUUGCUUACAAUCUUUUUCUACUAAGUGGUUUUUUCAUAUAUAUAUAUCUCAACUCUAUCUUAUGAAGAUUUUCAUAAUACUCCAACCACGAAAACUUAAACAUUGGUAACCUACUUUUUUACAUUCCAACCCUACUACUACCAUCCACCACCAUCCACCACCAUCCACCUUAUCAUAAACUAGGUUCCCGAUAAUUAUUAAUUCCUCAUCUAGAUUCCCGAUCUUUAGAUUUUCGUGAUUAACCCACUAUGAAGAUUUUCAUAAAAUCGAGUUAAGAUAUAUAUAUAUAUAUAUAUAUAUCUUUAAGUUUGGAGUCUACAGAAUCUACCGCUAACGUUAUUGUUCAUUGUUGGAAAGAUACCACGUCAUCAACAAGGAAAUAAGUAAUUUUUGUUUUCCAAUUAAAAUAAACAUGGAAGUGUUUCAAUACUUUAUAUUAUUUAUGAGAAGCUUAAAAAUUUUAAAACGUUUACGGGUAGAUUUAUAUUAUAAAAAAAGUAUUUAUGGGAGUGUUAAUUAAAAAAAAUUGAAGGCAGUCAAAUCAUAAAAAAAAUAAAAUGAAGUUUUAUACUUUAAUAGUAAAGUGGGAAUUAAACAAGUGAUAAAUAAAAACCCAAUUAAAGUAAGCAUAGGGAGAUUUAAAGUUUUUAUAAUAUUUAUAGUAAUAUUUAAAAUAAUAUAGUAUUAAUGGAAAGAUUUAUGUAUGAAAGAAAGUUUUUAUAGGAGUGGUAAUAUGAGACAGAAAAAAUUCAGUAUAAUUAGAAUCAAUCUACCACCAGCUUGCGAUCAAUUUUAAACUUUACAAAUAAAAUGGGUACUCAUCUUUGAAAACCUCCUAUAUAAUUAAAAUACUAAAUGAGAAAUUGAGAAUUGAAAACAAGUAAUAAAUAAAUUGUAGGUCUGAUUGUAACAAGCGACUAUAAAAAAUCAUGAUACAUCGAGGAUUAAAAACAAUUAAUAAAUAAAAUCAAUCAAGAUGAAUUUUAAAAUAAAUUGAAUCUAACGAGACAAUCGAUAAUGAAUAAUAUACAAAAAAAAUAAAAUUGAAGAUGCUACAUUAAUUCUAAUAAUUUUAACAACUUUAGUAGUUACAUAACUACUUUAGGCAUUAAAUUAACUGUUUUUAGUUAGGUUAAAGUUCCUUGGUUUAUAAUUCUUCCAAAACUAGUUUUUUUAAUUUAAUUCCCCGAUAAAACAUUACAUAUUAUCAAUUUUCUUUAGAGAUAUAUAAUUAGAAUCUUUUAAACACUACUAUAACUACUUUUACGUAACUCUCAUUUAAGCCAUAAAACUUAAACAAUAUGCACUUGUGCCGUCUCAUUAUCAAUACUCCCAUAAAAAUUUUUAAAAUAUAAAAACUCCCGUUUAUAAACUUUAAAAUUUUAAAAUUUCCCAUAAAUACUAUAAUUUCGAUGAACCUCCUUUAAAAGAGAUUUUAUUUUCCCUCUCUCUCUCAUUGGUGGUUAUGUGUUGUCCUCUUUAUGUACCCUACCUAGUCGCACUUUUGCGGCGAGGAGAAGGUUAGGUUUAGCGAGACGAAAAGGGACGAGAUGGAGGAGUGGUGGGAGGGGGAGAGGUAGAUGCAGAGGAAGAGGGUUAGACCCACGGAGAAGGCGAGGGGGUGGGUGGCGGCGUCGGGGUUGGGGGCGGAGAAGAGGAUGGGGCCGAGGAUACCGCUCGUGUUCAUGCGGGAGGGGUGGUGCGCUGGGCUCACGAGGAGGGGACGGGUGAAGAGUCCAGGUCAAGGAGAGACUUAGGCAUUAAGAGGGACUUAAAAAGCGAGAAACUAGGCCUAAAACCCAAAAGUGCUCACCCAGAAACCGAAACCUAGUCUAAUGCGGUUCCACAAACUCCUUUAGGCGCUUAACGCGCCGUUAGAGAGCGCCCCCUUGAGCAGGCGGAGGGGACAAAACUCCAUGGCCUGCCCAUUUCGGCUGUGGAAACGCCCCUUAAAGAGCUGGGUCUACUCCUUUAGCAAGAAGUUAGUGUCGCUACUACCCCAACUCCAGGGAACACCUAAAAAGUUCCUCAAAGGAUAUUCUCUUAGACCAAGGACCUUAGAUUAGAGAGAGAGAGAGAAAGAAAAAACCAUAUCAAUCGAUAAACUUACCUUCUUAACUUCUACCAACUAGAAAUUUAGACAACUAAGUUAGGUAUAUAAGACUUAAAUUUAGACAACUAAGUUAGGUAUAUAAGUCUUAAACUUAGGUAAACGUACGAAACUACGUAAUCAAACAUUUCCUUUUUUCUUUUUUUUGGUUAGUUAAACAAAGGAUCUUCUUGAACAAGAUGGACCCUUAAACACAUAUACUUGUAAGACCAAUUAUUUAUUCGUUGGAUUUAAACUGGGUAUGAUACACAGAAGUGGAAUUAACACCUCAAAGAAAGUAAAUAAAGUAACGAAUUCAACGUUUUAAACAAAACAUGAAACCAUUACUAAUUCUCGUAACGAAAAAGAAGUUCAAAUGAGACGAAAAAUUCGAAGAAAAGGAGUAAAGUAAGAUUGAUACUUGAGUCUAUUUAAUCGAUACUUUUUCACGCUGCCGCAGCAGCAGCAUAGCCGCCAGAAGCCGCUGGUGCUGUUUUAGGCCGUCGGCUUUCCGAAUCCUCGAGUUUGAGACCUUUGACAAACGAAGAAGUACAAGUAUCUAUUGAGAUGAGUAUUUCGGGAGCGGCGAGUGUUUUAAGAAUCACUACCUCUAUUCCCUUAGUUGUAUUAUCCUCGUACCUCUUAUCACUCCCAAAAAUGGCUACUUAACGGAAUGCUCUUGGGGCGAUACUUGCCACACUAGGGCUUCGUAAACUAAGUGGCCGAGAAGGGCUUAAGAUUCAAGCCGCAUACCAACCUGCGCUUCGACGUCGAUUGACACCUGGGUGACGAAGAUUAAGUAAGUGAAAACUAGCGCUUCCUGCGCCUGUACCGCUAGAGCUUCGUAGGUAAAUUACAUGUAUGAUACCUUCUCCGUUACCGUUGCCGCUCCACCUCCUUCACCCCUCUACAACUCAGAAACUCCCAAGUCUACCUCUGGAUGACACUCUUACCAAACGUCGGUACCAGUGGAUCGUUCGUAGGGAUAUGUUGUCCACGGAGAUGAAACGAGAUAUAUUCAAAUAGAAACGAGAAAGAAGAAGACAACAACCUUAAUACCUCUCUUUGUAUAUUUAAAAAAAAAAAAACUCUUUUAAUUGUAUACUUAAUACGUGAAGAUGAAGAGUCUCUCGUUUCGUUCCACAUCGUAAAUUAAAGACGGUUUUAUAUCAACGUAAACUUUAAAUUAUAGAACAUCAUCGUUACGUGUUAUUCUUGUGGCUAGAGAUAAUCUCCGUGUAAAUGACACUUGGGCUUAACUAGAUGUUUUAAGGAAGCUAUUGUGACCAAUCUUUCCUUUUUAAUUUUCUUCUUGCUGUCGACCUUUCUCAACACUUCCGUUACACCCCUGGUUUGAAAAUUUAAUUUUUCCUAAACAGGUUGAGAAUCCGAAAUUUCACACCAAGAGGUAGGGAAGAAAAUUGUCAACCUCGAAAAGUAAUUCUAACGUAAAUCAAGGAAUAAUAUGAAUCAAGGUGAUUAAACAUCCAAGUCACCGGUAAAAAAUGAAGUAAAAUAGCCAAAUCAAGAGAAGAGUAGAGUGAACGUUAAGGAACACCUAGACUCAGAUGGUAAGAGAAAGAAAUUAACGAAGUUUAGCGGAGAAUGAUCGUUAAGAUAAAACAACCAAAAAGAAAAAAAAAUUUUUUUUUUUCAAAAGGUUUGUCAAGAAGUACUUAAUCACUAUUCUUUGACAUGAGUUAAUAACCAACAUUUAAACAAAAACAGACUCUUCUUGAUUAGUAAGUCGUAUUGGGAUUACAUAAUUGUUUGACGUAUAUAACUUCAGGGAAGGACUACUAUUAAAGAAGUAAAAAUAUUUUUAUUCUUAUUAACGUAACGUCACGGAUUAGAUUCAAAGCAUGUAAUUAUAUAGUUUAUUGUGAAACAAAAAAGCGUGACGGUCAAGAUAACAUGAUUUAAACGGGUGAGUAGUAUACUUUACUAGGUCUACAAGGACUAUGACGUGAUUAAUAUUCCUCCGUAUCGGACCGAUCGUUGGAGAAGAGGACGGAAGAUAAGUUGCUCGAGCUCCGGAAAUUGGGGGCUCUAGUCGAGCGCAAGCGGAUACACUCUCUAAAUUACUCGGGGUUCUAGUUUUAUUUGUACAAGCUCCAGCUCCAUAAGCUCGUGUAACGACACCUCAUGUCCGUGUUGGAGUUCCCGUCGCCUCCUCCUCCACCCGUCCACAAUUCAUUCUAUCGGAGGGGGGCUCUGUAACAGCCCUCGUCAACACUUCCGAUGGAAAACUUCUACACCCCUCUUAGGUCACUAAUUUCUAAUUAUUUCGGUUUUAAUAAUUACUGUCUUUUCUACAUAACUUAGACUAGUUCAAACGAUACGUUUGUGAUUGGUCUAAAUUAUGUCAACACGGCAGUUAUUGUUAAGAAUGACAUAAUUAUAGUAUUCUUUUAUUGGUUCAAUAAUCACUAUAGAGAGAGAGAGCACGUAAAUACCGCUACGCUGCAUGGAACCUCUUUCGGUGAUGGUCUUCUUGACAGUUCCACUCCCGUACCUUGGAAUUAAGAAAAAAACUUUGAAAAGUGACCCCCUAUUUCUUUAGUGUCCCCUCCCAGGAGACUUCACUCACCCAUGUACAACCCCUCCAAACUAACCAUUACAUCGUGUAUCCCUUCCCUCGAUAUUAAAUAGGGAAGGAAAAUCCAAACCGGGUAAACAACUAUCUAAUAAGUAACUAAGUAACAAAUCACAAGGAACACACUUUAUUUUAGGACUUCUUUUUCCAUCGGUAAGAAAAGAAGACCGGAAACACCUCUAACAUUUAUUGUUUAAUAAUUAAGAACAGGACCUAAAACCUGGAGGAAUAUGAAAAAAAAAAAAAAAAAAAAAAACCAUACACUCAGAAUAUGUUCCUCUAUUAUAUUUCGGUACAAGUUUCAUAACGCAACGUGGAAACUUCACGGAAAGAACACCGUCAAGAGUACUUUAUCUUAAACAAAGGACCACGAGAGUAAAGUAAACAUAAGAGAAAAGUCAAGCUUUUUAAAACUUAAGGAACCGUGAAGAAUAGUAUAGGUGGUGUAUAUUUAAGCUUAAGGAAAACACCUAACUAUACAAUGCUUGUAUUUUACCUAUCGUAAGUUUGUUUUGAGUGAAAUGGUACAAUUUGAAUCAUAAUUCAACUACUACUACUAAACCGGUUUUAUAUAAACUAUAUAUCUAUCUGUGUUAUACUGGGAUUAUUUUCAGAAUUUUAACACCACUAUCGAGACCGUCACUUCAGUCUUAUCUAGAACUAUGUUACUUACUACUAAACCUCUUAAAUCACAAAAGGUGUAUGUCUUUAUGAUUAUUUAGUUUGUAGUUGUCUCUGAACAUGAAGUUCUUACUUUUGUUGUUUUGUGAAAAUAUACAUAAACUUUCUCCUAAAACUAUAACUUUUUACGUAAAUAACAUAUUCCAGUACUGAGUGACCGAUUUAUGCUAAUUUAAAUUGCUUAGGCUGUUCGGACAUCAUUUCCAAAGAAACAAUCGUAACGAAGAGUAGCUUGAAGAAGGACAAUCAGCCAUGCGUUGAGAACGAAUAAAAACUUGAGAAAGGUACGCAGAUGCGGUCUGAAAUGGUAGAAGAGAUAGAGUAGAUGUGAACAUCACAGUCCUCUAUCGUACGGGAGGUGGCGAUUGUAGUACAAAUAAUAUCGGACAGUUCGUGGUUCUUCAUUCAACUAUGUACCAGGCUUUUUAUAUCACAAACCAACCCUUUAUCAUUUAUGAGGUGCCUUAAUACCGCUGCGUAUCUUGAUCGGUCAAGAUAGUAUGGGGUAGUUUAAGGAAAAAGAUCCUAUUCCUAACGACUACGUUUAUAAAGUCGACGAGACCAUAAGUGGUGAUAGAAGAGAGCUAAAAAGCGGUUUGGUUUGUGAUGGUUUAAUUUUAUAAAAGAAGUAGUUAGUUCACACUUUCUGAGUGGUUCACUUCUAUCCCGGAGGGCAGCGCACCCCCUUACUCGGCUCUUGAGUAAUAGACGACCGUUUAGAGAAACCGAAACACUAUCAGAAAGAUGUUUGGUCAUAACUAUUCUACAAUGAUUAAGCCUUCUAAGUAUAAGAACUAAUGUGUAAGUAUCGAAAACAUUGUAAAAAUUUCUAUUUAAAACAACAAGACUUUGUAGAUUCUCUUAACAUCUUUUUGAACAGCCUAAGGUGUCUUCUUUCCCGGAAAAAUCCAACAAACUUAUCGAACAUAAUACGAAAUUACAACUUCCUUUAAUGGACUAACUAGUCGUGUUCCCAAUCAUGGUUGGGAUACAGUAUAAAAGAAAGGAAGAGAAGACAACGACUGGUAUUAAACAUAUCGUAUGAUCAAUUGGAAACCCGAGGUAGUCGGGAUAGGUGGCCACACAUCAGGACGUACGUCUAUAUUAAGAAAAAAAUUUUUUUUUUUUGAUUUAUAACAUUAUUUUCAUUCUACUUAAUUUCGUUCUACAACGCAAAUCUCUAGCUCAACUAAAUUAAUCUAAAAAGUUUGUGACUUGGUUGGAUUCUUGUUGUAUAAAUUAUAAACAUAAGUUGUUAAAAAUUUCUCAUCCUCUUUCUGAUUAAUUGUUCGCGAAACACGGAGGAUCCGAGUCUUUUUUAGAGCAGAUAUAGAGAUUAAUUUAUUAGGUUUUUCUUUUAAGAUCAUACUGUGAUAAAUGCGUUCAACCUUUGUGAAUGGUCAAUGUUCUUUUUUGAAAGCGGAGGAGUUGUUUUUAAUACACUACUAAUGAGGGUUUUCUCUGUUUUUUAAUCAGGUAACACAAACGCGGCCGGAAAAAUGAAAAUCUUUAUACAAAAUUCGUUGCAUAAACCAAUAAAAGAAAACAUCUUUAUUUCAAUAGAUUUUUAUGCUUUAUUGACUUAAACCCUCAAUCCUGAGACUCUGUUAACUUCACAUGAUGCUUCAUUGACUUGAAUCCUGUUAACACAGGGUUCGCUUCACAUGACGUGUGUCACUCGUUUAUAAAUCACUCUCUUUCUCUCUCUCUCUCUCUCUCUCUAACUCUCGUUGGGGGAAUCACUCGAGGAGCAUCUCCUCCAGCCGGUUCCACAUGCAGAAGAAAAGCAGGCUGGAGGUCGACAUGCCGUAGUUGAGGAACAUCUAGAGGCGCAUGUGCGCGAGGCCGUCGUGGGGGUGGGAAGGGGGCGGGCGGAGGCAGCCGGGGCGGCCGGCGAAGUCGUCCUAGAGGCAGUCGUGCAGGUCGCAGGCGACGCAGCGGGAGGGGCUGAGGACGGAGGUGAGGCGGCGGCCCCAGGGGGGCGCGCGGGGGCCUCGGACGUCGCGCGCGCGGCGUCGGUGGCGGCGCGUCGGCGGCGGGGGCGGCGGGGUCGGGGAGUCCGUGCGGCGCGGGUGCCGCCGCGUGCAAUCGUGGUGGUGGGGGCGCGAGUGGCGGCGGCGGGACACGCCGCCGGAGGCGGCGGGGCCGCGCCGCGGCCUCGGACGCCGAAGCGGGAGGAGGCGGCCCCCGCCGCAGCGGAGCCGCGCGUGGCGGCGACGCGCCGCCGCCUCGCGCCGCUCCGGCACGCCCGCGUCACGUCCCUUUACCCCGCACGCCGCCGUCUCCCUCCGAAGGUACCUUCUUCGAACUAAUUAAUCCAACACCUCCACUUGCUUUUUAACGCAACACCCACUAACAAUUAAGCCACAAAUAACUGCUCCCUCAGCCCUCAGCACUGAGCACUCUCUCUCGUUACUUCCUAACAGACAAAGAAUACAAACGGGUUGUAAGCUAUAGCCUAGUUGUUGUUAAUUAUAUUCUCACCCCAUGCUUAACGUGAAUUUUAGAUUAUGGUCUUGCUUACGAUUUAAAGGUUGUUUGUUUUACAGUGGAUAUAAAGACAAUGCCUUUUUGGGGGCUUUUGUAGUUGACGUUCGUUUCACCUUACUCUCUACGGACUCAUAUUUAUUCUCUCUCUUUAUAUAUAAGGAUCUCGUGCGGGGUUUUGGUUUUUUUUUUUUUUUUUUUAACUGUCUAGUCUUGGAUCAGAUUUAAGUUUUUUUNNNNNNNNNNNNNNNNNNNNNUAUCUAUAUAUAUAUAUAUAUAUAUAUAUAUAUAUAUAUAUAUAUAGACUGAGUGAAUGACCUAAGUUUAGUUAAAAUUGGGCUAAUGUUCUGGCCCAUAAAAACAAAUCUAAUUGACAAACAAAAGUGUAAAAUUUCACUAAAUUUACACACUCUCUCUUCUUCUGUUUUUUCACAAAGCUCUAAAUCCAUAAUCUCUUUUUCUCUUUCUCUUUUUUCCUAUCUUUCACUCUGAGCAGCCAAGCUUGAAGCCCCCCAAGUUACUAAGUAACAGUAUGUGCCCGUCAUUUUUUGCCAUUAGUUGCGUGCUUGAGAAAAUAUAUAGAAUAUUUUUAAGGUAAAAAAGUAUUUUUUAUACAAAAUUUUGAUUUUAGUUAUAUAUGAUUAGAUAGUUUAAUCCAAUAUUUGUCUAUAUAAUUUAUUCAUUUUUUGACCAUAUAGAUAAAAAAGUAUAAUAUAGAGAUUGAAGGCGAAAAAAAAAAAACAUGCGAGGUUGAAAAGAUUAGAUAUUCAAUUCAUAAAUUAUUUUUCUUUAUAUUAUAAUACCGUAUUUUAUAUAAUUAUUUUGUAUUAUUAGAUAUAUUUUUGUAUCGAAUUGUAGAUAAUGUUCUAUAUAAAUUAAACUUUUGAUCGUACAAUGUUGAGAAUUCAAACGGCUCGGUUAAAGCUCGAGUUUGCUCGACUCGAAAUUAGAUUCGCUCGAGCUUGGCUCGAAUUAAUUUCAAGCCGAACUUGAGUCUAAAUUUAGACUCGAAAUUAAUUUUAAGCUGAAUUUAAACUAAGAUAAACUCGUUCGAGCUUGGCCCGUUUCCACCCUAGACGAGAUUGAGCUGGGCAUUGACUCGGCCUUUGUAAAGCUAUAUCUGCAACCAUUUUUUUAAGACUAAUCAUAUUAUUGGUAAGAGAUAAAUCAUCUCGAUUUGGAGCUUUGUUAGUUAAAAUUUAUUUUAUGUGGUAGAAUUACAAUAAAAUUUUAUGUUAGUUUAAGUUAAAUAAUUUUUAUUUUUAAGAUGUAUGCUUUAAAUAAUGUGGCCGGGGCAGCAAUAUGUGGAUAGAGUUCAAGACGGAGGUUUACUGCUUUAUCUCUUUUUCAAUAAAUUAUUGUUUUGCACUUUCAUGUUAGAAUAUUUUAAGUUUUUUUUAAUCUUAUUUUUAAUUUAUUUAUAAAAAAUAACUAUACACGAGAAUGCCACGUGUUAUUAGAAGGUCAUAUGUAGUUUAGACAAGUUGCAGAGUUUUGUUGAGUUAAUAAUUGAUAUGGUAAUAUAUGUUAAAUUUCCAAACAAUUAUAUAAUUAUUUUUAAUACUAAAAGUUUUUAUAAAAAAUCGUAUAAAUUUAGAGGAAGAAUUACAAAUUUUGAAUUAAGGAAUUCAAGGUUUGUAAUCUCACGGCUCUCUUUAAUGAAAAAUUCUAGAAUGCAACGGGUAUAUUAGUGACGUGGCGUAACAAACCAAUCAAAUUAAUCCUUUUAAAAAUAUAUGUCCCGUCAUGAUUGUAAAAAAGUAUUUUUAUUGUACUUUUGUUUGAAAAGAAGGAAUGUGAUUGGUUUGUUAUUGAUGACGUGGUGCAAGUAUGACAGUAGAAUUCCUCCUCUUUGACCAUAUGCUAGGGGUGUAACGUGGGACGGGCCACAACGGGCUAGCGGCCGGCCCGCCUUUAAUUUCGGGUCGGGCAGUGCCAGGCCCGAGCUGCCCAGCCUCCGGUCCGGCAACCACUCUCCGGCCCAGAAGGCACGGGCCAUGUCGUGUCCGAGCCGUGCUUCAUGACAACCUCUUAAAAUAUUUAUUUUUUUAUUUUUUUAAAAAAUUUUAGUAUAAAAUUUAAAGGUGUAAACAAUAAAUGUUAUUGUUUAAAUAAAUAUUUUAAUUAAAUCAUUAAAAAUUUAUAAAAAUAAUUAUAAUAUAGUAAAUGUUUAAUUUUUUAAAAAAAUAAAAUAAUUUGUAUUAUUUUUUUGAAAAAAAAAAAUUUGGGCCAAUGGACCAAAAUUCUUUGGCCCAUUGGACCAAAACCAUACCUCCCAAGAUCUGUUGAGGAGAAUUCCAAGACGUCCCCAGGAGCUUAGACUUCUGCUUUGGGCCUUGGGUCCGGGCCAUACUGUGCCGAGCCAUCGGCCUCUCUUAGGUACGGCAUAGUCCAGGCCCGUUUCGGGUCGGGCCAUGCCGGGCCAUCGAGCCUCAAAGUAAAGGCCUAGCACGGCCCGAAAGCCAUGGCCAAGGAAAAAUUCUAGAAUUCAACGGGUAUAUUGGUGACAUGGCGUAACAAAUCAAUCAAAUGUCUCUUUUUAGGGGUAUAUGUCCCAUCAUGAUUGUAAAAAAAUAUUUUUAUUGUACUUUUGUUUGAAAAGAAGAAAAUAUGAUUGGCUUAUUAUUGAUGACGUGGUAUAAGUGUGACAGUAUAGAAUUCCUGCUGGCCGAGCCCGCCCAGCACAAAUGCUACAGUACCCAUGUUGGUAGUCCGGCCUAAGGCCAUGCCAAGCCGGGCAGCCCACGUGCCGUCUUGCCCGUCUUACAUUCCUACCGUACGCUAAGCAUUUCUUUACCUACUCCAUCUACUUAGCUUGAAAAUUCAGAGAAGAGAACUAGUGCUCAGAGUCGAUCCACUCUAGUUAAUAGAGUUGGUCCACUUUUGCCAUUGACUUGGACCAAUCUGAAUUUUGAUUUUUAAUUAUUUUUUCAACGGUAUGAGGUUACACCUAAGAAGCAAUUAUGUUUCUAAAGUAUAAAACACAUCUUUACUUCUUCGGUCGCGAUUUUUACUAUAAUUUUAUAAUUUUGGUGGUGAUGUAUUAGCUGAUAUAAUGCAGUGCAAAUCAGAAGUCUUUGUAAUGAUGGAUCUGCAAUCACUUUUUUAUGGUAGUCACAUUGUGUUAUUAUUUUUAUACUAAAAUUUAAAUGGUUGGUUUUGCUUAAGGAAUUAGGAUCGAAUUUGCAAAAGCAAAGAUAAAGGGGUUUAGGUGUUAUAAAUUUGAGUUAGUCUAAAAGAGCUUUAUAGCUAAAUCUGGUGGAGACUAGAUCUUCCUAAUUAUUAUUAUUAUUAUUUUUUUUGAGAAAAAGGUAGCGCGCUACCGCUUCAUUCAUUGGAAAAAUGAACUAGGCUACAGGGGUGGGGCAACUAGGGCCCCGGAACAAAAUAAAAAUAAAAAUAAAAACUAAAAUAGAAAUAAAGAUAAAAAUAGAAAAAGAAAUUAAAAUUCAAGUAGAUAGAGCCGAAUCCCACUCCUUCAGUAACUGCCGGAGAGUGAUAACAACCCUCUCAGGGUUUGGUUGUAUUUCCCUAAAGAUCAUGUCGUUUCUGGCCUUCCAAAUGCACCACCAGCAACCGGCUAAAUCAGUAAGGCAGGCCCUUUUCUUCCUUCGGCUCUUCCUAAUCCUCCACCUGUCCCAAGCACGGGUGACCUCUUCCUCCAUGUCUAGCGUCUGAACUCCAUCAACUCCCGACACUAAGAUGAACUUGCUAAAAACACACCCGGUGAACAAAUGGUCUACUGUUUCCUCGGCCGACCCGCAUAGUACGCAGGUUGAGUCUUGAACCCAACCUCUUUUAGCUAAUCUAUCGGUCGUAGGUAUUCUCUUAUUAAGGACCAGCCAGCAGAACACUUUAACCUUAAGAGGGAUUUUGACUCUCCAGAGAUGAGACGCACGCGCAUCCCUCGUACCCCCGUCCGACAACGACACAUAGGUCGAUUUUACAGAGUAAGAACCAUCGUUGCUCCAUCGCCAUUGUAUAGUAUCUGAUCUAUUCUCCGUGGAAUAGUGUGAAAUCCUAUCUUUGAGCUCCGCGAGGCUGGUUCUCGUCCCUUGCCCUUGGUUGAAAACGACUCCCAAAAUCCUACUCCACUCCCAACUACCCCUCGUAAAGCAAUCACUAACUUUUAGGUUUUUUCCGACAAGAGGAAAGCCUCGGGGAAUAACAGGUUUAGCGUGUUAUCCCCACACCACCGAUCUAACCAAAAGUCGAUGUCGCACCCGUUACCAAGCUUGUAGGCCUUCCCCCAAGAGAAGAUAGUGCUGUGGCAGAGAACUCCCCUCCACCAGCUUGAGUAGGGUCUAAAUGAUCUGCCUUCUCUCAAAGGUAUUCUUCGGCGAUAAUAUAAGUCUCUGAUUAGCUUGUUCCACUGUAAUUGAGUACCUGUGUAGAAUUUCCACCACCAUUUAGUGAGUAGCGCUUGGUUCAUGAUCGCUAUAUCCAAGAUCCCUAAACCGCCUUCCUCCUUGCUCCGGCAUACAUUCUUCCAAGCCAUCAAGCAGCCCUUUCCUGCGGCGUUUCGCCCACCGUUCCAGAAGAAGUCCCUUCUAAGCGCUUCGAUGCACUUAAGUACCCAUUUGGGUGCCUUGAAUACAGAUAGGGCGUAAAGGGGUAGGUUAGUUAACACCGCGUUUACCAGAAUAAGUCUGCCUCCCCUCGAAAGCAGUUUGGCGUGCCACCCGUCUAAUUUGCUAUGCAAUUUACGGAUAAUCCCCCUCCAGGCCUCUUUUGACGGAGGUUUGGGAGACAGGGGUAGACCCAAGUAGUUGGUCGGGAAAACGCCCACUUUACAAUCCAGAAUGUUUGCUAACCUAGUAGCUUUUCCAUGAUCUCGGCCCAGGUAGAAUAACUCCGAUUUGUCUCUGUUGACUUUCAAGCCUGAAGCCCAUUCGAAUAGGUGCCAUAGAAAUUUGAGGUUCCUUGUACACCUUUUUGUUGCCACUCCAAAAAAGAAUGUGUCGUCCGCAUAUUGAAUAAGGGUGACCCUACUUAUCUCUGACGGACCCAAGCCUUGGAUGAGAUUAUUGGAAACCGCUGCGUUAGUCAAACGAGGCAAACACUCUGCCACCAGAAGGAAGAGGAACGGCGACAGAGGGUCCCCUUGCCUCACACCUCUUUUCGUCUUUAUCCAAUUAGUCGGUUCACCAUUUACAAGUAUCGCCACUUUUGCGUGACAAACGCAAAGUUCAAUCCAACGACACCAUUUUUCGUUGAAGCCCCACCACCGUAGAAUACUAAACAGGAAGGGCCAAGAAAUCCUAUCAUAGGCUUUUUCGAAAUCUACCUUGACCCCCACUCCCUCCACUGCCGUCUUGGUGCCCCAACUAAUGAGUUCAGACACCGUCGCGAAAGCGUCUGUGAUGCUCCUUCCUUUCAAGAAGGCCGACUGAGAAGUGGAUAUAAGGUCCUUCAUGACCCGCUCAAGGCGGUUGGCCAAGACCUUAGAUAUGAUCUUUUGGAUCCCAUUCAACAGGCUAAUCGGUCGAUAGUCGUUGGCCCGUUCGACCCCCUCCUUUUUAGGAAUUAAACAGAUGUACGUAAAGUCGAUGGGGUCAGUAGAGAGACUCCCUGCGUGCAUUUCCUGAAAUACCUUUACGAUAUCCUCCUUGACAGUAUCCCAAAAAGUUUGGUAAAAGCUUAGCGGAAAGCCGUCGGGGCCCGGUGCCUUAUCCUUUCCCAGUUGAAACACGGCUUCCUUGAUUUCUUCUAGGCCGAAAGGUUCAGUAAGUCUAACCGAAACAUCUACUGCUACUCGAUUAGUCUGGAAUAAUCUGCUCCAAUCCCCCCAAGAAUUUGGGGCUGAAUCCGCUGGUGUGAAGAGCUUCUUGUAGAAGCGAUAGAAGUAGCUCUUUUUCUCCUCUUCAGAUUGGUAAGUGACCCCAUUAUCAACAACCGUGCCAAUCCAGUUAGCCCUGCGUCUGUCGUUCGCUAUGGAGUGGAAGAAUUUUGUGUUGCCGUCUCCUUCGCGUAACCAGUGUUGUUUGGCCCUGGUUUUCCAGACAGCAGUUUCAUCGUUUAUCACAGUUCUAAGCUUGGCCUUUAGCUCCUCUCUUUGCAAAAAGACAGCCUGCGGAAGUGGGUCCUGCUCCUCUGCUUUAUCGAUUGACUGAAUUGCCUCCGAAAGGUAGUUCUUACGCCCUCUGAUGCUAUAGAAUUCGUUAGCACACCACUCCCUUAUCCUAUGUCGACAAUGACGCAGCUUCGCCGUGAAAGAUAACACAGCUGACUUCCCCUGCGCACCCUGCGCCCCUUCCAUCCACCAUCCCGGCAGUUUAGAACGAAAACUCUCGUGAUUCAGCCACGCUUCCUCAAAGCGAAAUGUCUUGAAUUUUGCUUUGGUUCUCGCCUCCGCCGUAAGUAAAAUAGGACAAUGAUCCGAAGUAAUCCUAGGGAGCGCUUCCACUCGCGAAAGAGGAAACGCCAGAUCCCAUUCCGUUGAGACUAAAAAGCGAUCGAGUCUCGCACACGUGGGGUUCGCUUGCAAAUUGGACCAUGUGAACGCUUGAUUGGGCAUAGGUGGGUCGAUCAAGGCUAGCUCUUUAAUCAAAUCAUUGAACAGUCUAGUAGCCUUGGAACUCCAAGUCUUGCCCUCCUUUCAUGCUGUCCCCUUGUGCAAUUAAAGUCACCACAAAUGAUCCACUUGCCCACACAUUCCUCCUUGAGUUGGGCCAAUUCCGCGAAGAAAUCUUCUUUUCCAUCCCAGGAAGCGGGCCCGUAGACAUUAGUGACGAAAAAGUUUACCCCCCCCCGUGGCUGAGGAUAGCUGGACCGUAACGGAGAAAGUUCUAACUAACACACUUAGGCAGGAGAAAAAACGCGAGCUCCAUGCCGUGAUAACCCCCCCUGAGGCCCCGUUGGCAGGUAGAAAAGCACAUUUAUUAACCAAACGGCCACCAAAGCUACUUAAGAAAGUGUAAACUGCACGUUUGGUCCUCCAACUAUUAGGUGGGUGACAUUCAUUUAAGGUUUUCAAAUUUUAAUAUAUUAUAAUUUCUGGCUGGAACAUUUACAAUUAUUGUAAUUACAUUCUAUAAUAUAAUUUAGUAAGUUAAAUAUAAAUAACUUCCAAGAAUAAACGUAAUGUAGUACUGCUAUGAUGACAAUGCACUAAUAGCUAAAAAACUAUAUCACUUUUAUAUUAGUGAUGUGUUAUUAUUUGGUCAACUAAAUUGAAUUGUAAAAUUUGAUUGCAAUAAUCUAAAAAUUUGAGUCCAAAGUUAUAACAAAUUAUAGUUUAAAGACUAAAGUGUCACUCGUCUCAUAGUUUGGAAAUAUAUUUAUACACUCCAAGAGUUUUAAAAUCUUUUUAAAAAUUUUUAGUAUUUUUUGAUGUGACAAAUGAGGUGAUCCCAACCUUUGAGAGGCUAGGGUACAAGAUUUGCACCUACAGGCUACAGGAUAAAUGUAUCGAUAGCAUUGCUAUACUAAAAUUUAAUAAAAAGUGUCUAAAUCAUUAGAUUGAUAGGCUCUAAAAUUUAAAGCCCAUGUUUAAAUGACUAUUUCGCUUAAUAAAUAGAGGGUGUAGAUAAAUAAAAAUCAUAUCCUCUCUAUUCUCCCAUCGGAUCUUAUGAUUUAGAGCAAUGUUGAUUGCACAGUUUACUGUAGGAUGUAAAUCUUUUUUUUCUUUUUUUUUUUCCGUUCAAAGGCUAAUAUUUUUGUGCCAUAAAUUUCAACAUAUUUUUUACACUAUAAUGCUUUUAAAAAAAAUAAUUAAACCCUAAUUUAGUGGGUAUAGGAUGUACAUCUUAGACAUUGAUGAGUGUACCAGUAGUAUUUGUUAAUGUUUUACGUUAAGACGGAUAAACCAUCUUCUGCAGAUCAUGACUACAUUAUAAUAAAAAAUAAUAUAAUAUAUAUAUAAAGAUAAGUAAAAAUUUUAUUAAAAAAAAUAAAUUUAUAGUUCAGUGACAUAAUCUUAUUCUGUCUUUUAAAUAGUUUAAUUUACCUAUUACAUAUUUUUUGGAAUUAUAAAAUUCCUACGCAUGAACAUAAAAAUUAAUUUUUAAAAUGAUCAAAUAUUUCGACUCGGGCUGCAGUUAGGGACCGUUUGGUUAGAUGUAAUUAUAAAUACAGUAUAAUUAGAGAUGUAUGUAGUUGAAAAUGCAGAAGUUAUAACUAUAUGCAUCAUAUUUGGUUGGAUGUAGUAAAAAGCGCUGCAACUAUAAAUAAUUUAUUUGGUUGCAUGUAGUUGAGAAAUAAUUUUUAAAAUUUUAUCAUUUUACACUCUUCAACGGUUGUAAUUAGAACUGCGGCCAAUUUGGGCGUAGUUCCAACUGCUGCAAUUGGACCACUUCCUGCAGUUCGUACUGCAGUAGUUGGAGAUAAAUACAUUAAACCUAAUAUCGAAUUUGAAUUUGCAUGCAGUUACAAUUGCCGUGCAGUUGCAACUACAUACAACCAAACGCCCUUAGUUGUGUUACAUAUUUAAUUGUCACAUGAAUUUAUUAAUUUGUUAAUAACGAUAUGACAAAAAAUACGACACAUCUUAUCUAUUAAAUAUUAAGUUAUUAUCUCAAAUCAAUUAUGACUAAAUACUGAAUUGUCAUCAGUUUGCUAACACCAAAGAUGCAGUAGCAAAAUAAAAGAUAAACGAAGUCAGGAUUCAAUCACGAGGGGCCAAAAUAUGUAUAAAUAAAAAUUUUAGCAGAUAAACAAGAUUUUAACUAUUUAAAUUUUUAAUAAAAAAUUUUAAUAAUUAGAUAAUUAAUAUUAAAAAAUAUUAAAUUUAUUUUUUUAAUUUACAGUCGCUUAACUUCUAAUCAUUUUAUUUGCAUUAUUCCAUUCAAAUAAUUUAAAAAUUUUACUAAAUUUAAUAGUAAUUUAGUUAGAAUUUAAUUUUUUUAAUUUUUGUUAAUAAAAUAAUAACAAUCAAUGACUAAUAUCUAGCAGAGCUAUUAAAUUUAGCAUACUUUUUAAUUUAAUUAAAUAAAUUAGCCCAUAAAAAAAUGAUUAGAAAGUUAAGAAUGUGUAAAUAAAAUAUUUAAAGUUGAAAUGACUUAUUUUAAAAUAUACUAUAAUUAAGAGAUUCUUAGCAUAUUUUUAUCUAUAAAACACAUUAAAAGAGAAAGAGCUCUAUAUUAGCACUAAAAUUUUUUUAUAACAUAAACACAUAUAUUUUAAAAAUUAACUAAAAAUUUAUACUAUAAACUAAAUAUUGAAAAGUUGAGAAUGGCUAUAACCCCUUUGGGUCUAUAAAUGGCUCCAUUGGAGAUAAAGGGCGUGUUUGGUUCGAAGUUGGAGUCGGAAUCGAAAUCGGAAUCAAAAUAAGCUGGAAUCGGAAUCGGAAUGACUCAUUACCUAAUUCUGUUUGGUUCAUCACCUGAAUCGGAAUCGGAAUAAAUCAUUCCCAUUGUCGGUGUUUGGUUCAGGUGGAUAUAAAAAACGUAAUCAAAUUAAUAUACUAACAUUAUCUUUAUAAUAUAUUAAUUUAAAUUCAAAUUAAAUAUUAAAUAUUAAAAAUUUACAUCAAAAUUUUGAAAUAAUGUCAAAAUUUUAAAUCUAUUUUUUUAAAAAAAAUUAAACUUUGAAGUUGAGUGGAUAAUUCAAAAUGUGAAACUAAAUUUUGAUUUAUUCAAAUUCAAACUAAAAUUACAAUUUAAAUUUUAAUUUGAAUCUAUAAAUUUAAUUUAAGUUUGAAAUAAAAUUUGAAUAAAACUUUAUAUAAAUUAAAAUUUAAUUUAAAUUCAAAUUUAUAAGUUAGAUUCGAAAUACUUGAUUAAAUUUUAAAUUUUAAUUUAAGUUCAAAUUAAAAUUUAAAAUUAUAUAUUUAAUUUUUAAAUUUUAACUCAUAUCUUAAUUAAAAAAGUUGAAAAAAUAAAUUUAAUCCGAAUAAAUAUCCAUUCCGUCCGGAUUCAACUUCCAAUCUGACCUUCUAGACCGGAUUGAAAAAUGAGGUGAUUGGGGGAUUCUCAUUCCACUCGAGAAUGGGAAUCGGAAUGGGACUCCCGCAUACCAAACACCCACAAACGGAUUCACCCAUUCCGAUUCCGAUUCCAGGGUGAAAAAGAAGCGAACCAAACACGCCCAAAGAGUAAACUAUAACCAUUUGUCACUUGUUUGGUUCUGCAGUUACCUUGAUAAAUAAUGUCCGAUAAGUAAUUGUGAGUUGGAAAUUUGUCUUUUCAAUAAAUUUAUUUGAAGAUGGAUGAAGAGAAAUAACUAAAAUUAAAUCUAUUACACCCAAACCACAAAACACAGCAAAAUAAUCACGUAAAAUAUGAAGAAUGCUUCUUGCACACCUAUUAUGCAAGUGUAAGAUUUAUAUUUCAAUCUCUCAAAAUCUAAGGGGUUGUUCCUAGAGCAAGUGACAAAGGAUUUGGUGGUUGGUAUCCGAAACCGAAGUUCGAAUUCUAAUUGAUUCACAUUUCUAGCUAUGUUUAUUUCGUUUUUUUGAGAGAUAGGUAGCACGCUACCCGCUUCGUUUAUUUCAUUUAAAAAUAAACUUAGUCUUACUUCUAAGUUUAUUUUUAAAUGAAAUAAAUUCCACUUGGCCUUGCAACUGCAAGCAAAGUGGAAUGAGAGAUGCCUUAUUUCUAAGAGAGAGAAAUUAAUUCCUUGCGUACGCCCCAAACCCAAAAAAAAAAAAAAAAAAAAACUUGACAUAUAGAAUUUAGUCUUACUUAAAAAAUAUAUAUAUAUAUUUAUUAGAUAUUCUUCUCUCAUUUCUUUGCUUGAAUACUAUGUGAACUUUAAUAUAUAUAUAUAUAUUAUAUAUAUAUAUAUAUAUAUAUAUAUAUAUAUAUAUUAUAUAUAUAUAUAUAUAUAUAUAUAUAGAGUGAGGUUACUAUGCUAUCGAAAGCACGGAGCAUUCCGUGCUUUCAGCUCAUUUUCGAUGUUGUGGCUUUCGAAUCGUCGAUCAGCUCCGUUAAACUUGAUCUAGAGUAUUUGAAGUACCUAGAAAUAAAUUUUAUGAUUUACGAUAUCAUUUACCUAGUGAACGAAGGGGCUCAAAUUCAACGGCUGAAAAUAAAAAUCUUAUAAAAUAUAAAAAUAUGACAUUAAAAUUUUAAUCAAAGUAUUGAUCUUGUUUAUUAUAGUAUAAAAAAUUUUCUAUCAAAAUUUUACGUGAUUUGGAUAUUUCUACACCGUUAAACUUGCAAACGGCUCACUACGGCAUUGAAAUUAUUGAUUUUGAGCUCAUUCGAUCACUAGGCAAAUGAUAUCGAAAAUAAUAAAAUUUAUUUUCUAGGUACUCCAAAUACUCUAGAUCAAGUUUAACGGAGCCGAUCGACAUUCGAAAGUGCCAACAUCGAAAACGAGCUGAAAGUACGGAAGGCUCCGUUACUUCCGAUAGCCAUAGUAGUCAUCACUCUAUAUAUAUAUAUAUAUAUAUAUAUAUAUAUAUACAUAUAUAUAUAUAUAUAUGUAUUUCGAUGAUGUACGGAAAGUUAAAUCCUGAUGUUUAUGUUUGCUUAUAAUUUUUUGGAAAAACUUCAAAAACCCCCCUUGUGGUUUCGUGCAUUCUCACUUUGCUACCCUGUAGUUUAAAACGUAUCAAUUACCCCCCUGUGGUUUCAUUUUUAUCUUUUCGGAAGCUUUUUCGUUAAUAUUUCGUUAAAUUAUAUACAAAAAAUUUCAGAUAACCAUCUAUAUUUAUCGAAUAGUCACUUUAGUAUCCUUUAAUUUUAACUUUGUCACUGAUUUAAAAAAAUAAUAAUAAUAAAAUUGAUAACAAAAAGAUAAAAACGAAACCACAGGGGGGGAAAUUGAUACGUUUUAAACCACAUGGUAGCAAAGUGAGAAUGCACGAAACCACAGGGGGGUUUUUGAAGUUUUCCCUAAUCUUUUUCUACUAAGUGGUUUUUUCAUUUUUAUGAAUUUAGAAGGUUAUGAGCUUCAAUCUCAUGAUACUUAGGUUUCAAAACUGAUCUAAAUAUAUAUUUUUUAUUAUUUAUACUCAAGAAUAUUAUUUGAUCGUUAAUGAAACGGGGCUUUUUCCGAAAAAAAUAAAAGGAUUCCUUUCUUGAGCUCUGGAGAGAACAAAAGUGCAAAGAGAACCCCAAAAUUAAUUAAUUUAUUAAGCCAAAAAAAAAAAGAAGCAAACAUAAGAAACAAACAAUCCUUCAUUGCUCUCUCUCACGAGUCACGACUCCCGACUCCCUCGUCAAUAAACACCGAAUUAACAAUCACCCACAACGCAAUUUUUCGUUCACCUCCACAACCUAAUUAAUCAAGCUUCUUCCAUGGAAGCCUCCCUCUGCCGCCGCACGCCCCAUUGCCCUGCACUGCGCCCGCACGGCCUCGCCGCGCUCCGCCGCCGCGCAGCGGCGGUGCGCGCCGAGGCGACGCCGCCCCCGGCGGAGGAGGGCGAAGCCGCAGGCUCCGGCGCCGCGCCGCGGCGGCGGAGGCCGCCGCACAGGGCGGCGGCGGUGAGCGCGGGGGUGGUGGUGCUAACGUGCGCCGCCGUGGGCGCGGCGUGCCUGAGGGGCUGGGGCGGCGGGGGCGGCGGCUGCGCGGCGGUGGCUGCUGCUCGCGCGCUGCAGGCUCCGGGGGGGCGCGGGGGGGCCCCGGCGGCGGAGUGGAGGCAGGAGUCGGGGAGGGCGACGCAGCGGACGCUGGACGUGCUGACGGAGAUCCUGCUGAAGCGGCCGGCGGGGCCGACGGAGGCGGGCGGGGGGAGGGUGGGGGUGCUGCCGGAGCGCGUGUACGCGGAGAUCUACAAGGAGUUGAUGCCGUACAGCUGGAGGUCGGACGAAAAGAAGACGUACACCUUGGCCGACCUCCUCUACGAGGAGCUCACUAAGGGGGUUGCUCUCAAUCUCUCUCUCUCUCUCUCUCUCUUUCUCUCACUAAAUAUUUGCUCACUGUGUGCAGUACACUUCGCUUGGGACACAAUUGUCCUAAGUUCAGUUACUUCGUAGUACACUUCAAUUGGGGCAUAAUUGUCUCGAAGUCCUAACUCCCAAAUUCAGUUAUUUCGUAUUUUUAGAUAACUUUAUUUCUACAAAAGAAAAUAACCAAAUACGUUGCUUAAAACAUAUUUCUAAAAGUAAAAAGGCCGGCGCAAACACAAUGGACUAAUUUUUUGUCUCUUUUGGGAGUAAUCAUCACAUAAUUUUUGUUGAGGAGGAUCAAGUUUUUUCUUGUAACUGGUAAGUGUUUCCAACUUGCGUAAAUAGUGUCAUACUAGAAUUUUCUUUUUGGAUUAUUUAAUUAGAGAUAUAGACGAGAUUUUUUCUGAGCCUAGGAGGCACAAAGCGCUUGUUAAUUAGUCUUUCUCCUACUCUUUAAAAAUUAUUGAAUACAAAUAUUAAAUAUGUUGUUCUUAGGUUGGUUAAGUUUUUGAAAAAUCUAAUUAAAUCAACUCUCUAAACGCAACAUCUUGCUUUAAUUCAUCUUACUUUUAUUACAAUAUUUAUUUUUUUUUUUAAAAAAAGAAUUAUAUCUGCAUGCAGGACUACACACCGGUGGAUAGGGCUGAUGGAGCCCAAAGGUUAACUAGUAUGCUAUACAAAUUAUGGUCAGCAACAGAAGAGAAGGAACGAAAAUAUGACAUAGGGUUGGUACUAACCCUUGUGCUGAUCAAUCAGGUAAUUUCCUUCAACAUUAAAGCGUAAUACAAGCUAUUCAAACAACCUAAAAAGGCCCUUUCUUCUGUGGAAUCCGACAAGUUUUUCUACAAUUCUCUUAGAUGUUUCAGAACAACAAAAUUUAUCUUUAGAAAUGUUACGAAAGCUACGAAUGUGUAAUCAAGAAUAUGAAUCUUCCGAAUUAUUCACAUCUUAUCAAUACUGGUUUGUAGAAAGACUAUCACAAGGCCAAAGAGAUUUGCCAGCAGAUAAUGAGUUCUCGGCUCAUUCCCCCACGCGACGGGAGGCCCUAUCUUCACUUGGUGAGUCUUUCACACUUGAUUGACGAAGAAAAUAUUUUAAUUUGGUAGUGUUUGGUUUGGCGAAAAAUCGAGAGAAGAUAAUGGUGAAUACCCGAGCAGCUGAAAUAUUUGCAUCAGCAAUCCUUAUCCUAGAAAAAGGAAUUUGAUGGGGUAUGAUAGAACUGGCUAGUUCUAUGCGUCGCCAUAAUUCCGUGGAGUAUUUACUAUUUCCCAACCAAACACUAUAUUUUUCGGACUAUGUAUCAACUUACUUCUUGGUGCUUGACAGGCUAUAAUAAACAUGAUGUUAGCGGUGGAGGGCAUGCUAUCUCCUGACACUACAAGUGUAGAUGAGAUAGAGAAGAUGAUAAAGUCUGGCGUAGACGCAUGGAAAGAGUUCAAAAAUAAGCAAGAGUUGCGUACCGACUAACAGGAAGAAGUUCGAUGAGAAGCAAUGCUAACAAAGAAACCUUUACUACAGGCUUGUCAGAUUCGUUAAAUUUGAUCGUAUUUAGCCAGUGAGUCAUGACCUUAUACAAUAAAUGCAUUUUUCAAUAUCAAAAUCCUCUUUCAAAUACAUAUAAAAGUGUUUUGUUGUUUUCAUUCUUGAAGUACAAGUCUCUGUUGACGUUUGAUUUAUUAGUAUUUCUGUAUGUGGAAAACACUAAAUUCUCCAAAUCAUCAUUCAUUGUAUCAAGAUCUGUUCUCACUUCACUGCCAGAGCUGUCACCAAAAUUUUAAGACUUCUAUUAGGGUCAUAUUGUGUCUAUCUAUAUAUCAAAUAUAUUUUGGCCAAAUUAUCAUCAUCAACUUAAUACUAAGUUUAACAUGGUAAAGUGAGUUUUGUUUGAAUGCUAUCCAUUUUAUGUUCGUAACAUAUCAAUCCACAAAAGGAAUUCGAAUUUAUAUGUGGUGGAUAUGAUAAGAAGUGCCAAGGAAUUCAAAAUUUUUCAAACUGAAAAGAGAAUACAAAUGAAAUGAGAGCACCAGGAAACAAAUUCUAUUUCAUGAGAACUGCCACAAGAAAGGUACUUCAAAGGUGCAACGCAAUACUUUGAACAUGGCUUUACAUUAUCUCCUUGUAUAAGACUCACAUACCAAAAAAAAAAAAAAAAAAAAAAAGGAAGUAUAAGGAGGUCCAAAAUCCAGGACAAGAAUUAAUAAUUUGUUAUUUACAAUCUCCACAAAGGCCAGAAGAAAAGAAUGGCUACCUUUUUCUUCAGGAUUUUAUUUCACACAAGGAGCACUAAACAAUGAAUCAAUGAAUAAUCUAUCAACAAAUGGGCCAAACCUAAAAGGAAGGGACAAAUUAUAGCUCCCUUCCCUAUGUGCUACAUUACCAAUCAAACCUCCCCAACAUGUACCCACUCACUUCAGAGGACCCUUCCCUGUGAUUUCUUUAUCCCCCAGUGAAAAGUUUCAAAAAGAAUUAAGGUUCCAAGCCCUCACCUUCACAGUUCUUCUGGUAGUGGCUUUCUCCAAGGUACGUCGCAUCGCCAUAGAUGCACGACAGAGAGAGAUAUCACUAAUAACUUGGUUAUUUUCUUAUGAUAUUAAUACAGUAAGAAUUAUUAUUGACGGCACAACUGUAUUAAAUCUGGUUAGUGUUUGCAUAGCAAACUUGCUCAAAUUCAAUACAUCUUUUCUGUCAUUAAUAAUUUUGGCUUUAUUAAUCUUUAAUCAUUGGAUUCUCCCCACAUCUUCAAAAGGUAGCCUUCACAACUGCUCCCGACAAUGUCUCGGGAGGAGGCUAUCUUACUUAACACCUGCCCACCUCCUCCUCCGCUGCCCUUGAGGUUGUGCCUGUACUCCACAGCAAUGUGCUCGAAUACCUCGACCUCGAACAUGUUUAUUUUGAUCUUGGGGCUCAUUAAAUCUCUCACAUAGGCGAAAGCGAGCUGAUCUCGGGGGUUAAAGGCCUCGAGCUCGUUGAAUAGAAGGCAGGAGAAGAGGUUGCUAGCCAGGCUAUGCCUCCUUAUAAUUAGUGCAGUAUCAGGAACAUCUGGAUCAUUUCAUAUGAUGAGUGGGCAAAUUUAGUACAAUAGAACUGGCAGUGCGAAAAAACAAAGUGUUAUUUGAUAUAUUAAUGUACGAAACUUAGAUUAGGCACUGCAAUGCAAUUAUUCUUAUUUUUAUAAAAAUGAAGAAAUUAUCAUCUGGAAGGGACUUCAAUAUAUGCAGUUUGUUAAUACAUCAGGGUUAUGCUGAAUGAUUAGUUCUUCUCGGACAAAAACAAAUUUACAACCAAUAAUUGACUACAGUUUCUUAUCACUAAUUCAUGAAGAACUGUUUGGAAAACUUUUUUUUUUUAAAAAAAAGAAAAACCAACAAAAUAGAAUUGCUAGUAAGAGGCGAUUUGAAGCAAUUAAAGAAAGAGAAUGGUAGACUCAGAUCCACAAGGAAUUGCAAGUGAGAUGAGAAGAGAACUAAACCGAUAAAAUGAAGUAAAAAAUGGCCACUGAACCUACAAAUUAGUGGAACUAAGUAUAAUAAGGAACUAAAUGCAAUCUUAAUGAAAAGCUCCAACUGUUAAAAGAAGGGAUGGAGAACCACACUUUAAAGCCUAAGAGUUGGACAAAUCCUUUUUAAUUUAAAAGUUUGGUCCCCACAUUGCCUUCACAACUCUUUCCAGCUGUCGUUCUUUUUUAAUUUUUCCUUUCUAACCAGUGUUAUCGAAGGAAUUUUGUAGAUCAAUUCGGGUUCACAGUAAAUGUGCCUCUAAUAGAGAUCGGUGUUCUUAUUGUGCAUUGCUACUACAAGAUAUUAAAUUUCAAAUGCAACUAUAUUUUGGCAGAAAUUAAAUGCUACACCUUGCUUUGCUCUCUGAGAAGUAGAAGUGCAUAAUUCAUAUGUUAAUUUUCUCAAAAAAAAAAAAAUUUAUAUGUUUCUCUCCAUAAUUCCAACAACAGAAGAAGAAAGAGCAAAGAUAAACUUAUAUAGAGCAAAGUAGAGGCACCUGUUGUAUAGGGAUGCUUGCUAGGUGACCAUGGCUGCAAACCAUUCUCACAGUAGGUCUCCAUCUGAACCCUCAAAGACUCAACAUCUCCCCACUUCCUCCACCUCGCCGUUGCCAUUGCCUCUUCCAUAGUAUGUACAUUAAAUGGAUGCUUCGAGAUCGCCAUGUCCGCGUCCUUCGCGAUCAAAAGUGAAUGAAUUAGAAGCAGUGGGUCCACAGUUAGCUGCAGCUUCGCGUCCAACCAUACGCCGAACUUAGAAUUCGGGAAGAGCCGGUGAAUCAAAUGCUUCGGGAUCACACCGUUCAUAGCGGGGUUCUCGUAAGGCAAUUCAUCGGUAAAAACCCUCACUAUUCUCCAUGCUCCUAUUAUGUUGAUUCCCUUAUCUCCAUCACUAAGAAUUUUGUGAGCGGCGAGGGCUUUAUGAGUAGAGUUAUCUAUGAACAUGAAGAAGCAAACAGUUUCCAGAGUUUGAGCUCCUAAGCCUUUCGGCUGCCGGAUUUUGUCGUGGUCGCCGAAGACCGCCGAUACGACGACGACGCCGUCGCACUUUUUCAUAGCUAAUUUAUCUGAGUUCAUAGUUAGAAUGAAAUGAGGAAAAGAAGCUUAAAAAGCAGAGUAAACUUGAAGAAAAAGCAAUGCUCUUAAUCAUUACCAAAGUACAAAACAAAUUUUGCAACUUAAGCAAUGAAAUAAAUGAAAGAAACUCCACAAUUAAGGUGAAGACACAUAGUAUGGGUCAAAUUUAGGUUGCUUAUUUAUUAACCAGAAUGUUCAUAUACACAAAUUCCCAGGUAGAACAAGUUCUUCUAGGAAACAAAUUGAUUGGUUUUUUUUCUUUUUUCCUUUACAAACUAAUGCAUCAAAGCAUGCAAAUGGAUUCAAAUUCUGAAUAUAUGGAUUGAAUCAACAGAUUUAAAUUCAGAAUAUAUGGAUUGAAUCAACAGAUUUAAAGAUCAACCAUCUUCAAUUCUUCCAUUCAAAUAGCUAACUAUACCAAAAAAGAAAGAGAGAGAGAGAGAUUAGAUUCCAGGAACCAGAUUCUCUUAUAGGAAACUCCUUGAAAAAUCCACAAGGGACCUCAACCCCAUCAUCGCUGUGAUUGAAGAACGAUUUCCUCAUCUGGGUCGAGAAAUUCCCCGCAAAGGUGUCGGCUUUACCCGUCCGGUACCUCAAAACAGGGGAGGCGGACGAGUUCCCCCGCGAGAGAUUGCCGCGCAAUUCGCGGAUUUCCUCAAACACCUUGGCGUAAUCUGAUCCAAAGCCAAAGACCCACUCGUGAAAACCCAAAAUCCGGAUCAAAGAGCGAAAAAUUCAGGGAGAAUUACGGAUUCAGAGAGGAACUGGACCUGAGAAGUGGGCAGGGGAGGAGCACUCGGGUCGCGUGGUGGGGAGGGCGUACUUGUGCUCGCCAUAGGAGCCGGGGUAGGAGAAGAGGCGGGGGUUGGGGCUGCGGCGGUGGGUGGGGGAGCGGAAGAGGCACCCAGAUUGGGAGAAGGAGACGUAGAUGGAGAGGGGGAGGGUGGUGAGGAGGUAGAGCAGGGAAAAGCAGAGCGAUUUGGAUUGGAAGAGGAGCGGCGUUUUCACGCUGAUCCAUCCCAUGUAUUUCUCCUGUUGUGUAUUGGUGGUUACUCUCUCUCUCCCUUUUAUUUUAGAGAAAAUUUCCUCCAAGUAGCUUUAAUAUCAUAAAUACCCUUUAAAAUUUUAAAAUUUCAAAUAUUUGCCCUCAAAAAUAUAAAAUUUUUAAAAAUACCCUCAUAACUAUUACUCUGCCGUGUUCACGUAUAACAAAUUCAAAAUACCGAAUUUACUCUCAAUGCAUUUUCAUCAAUAUCAUCACAAAUUUUCUAAGAUUAAUAUAUAGAGAUUUCUUUUAACUAUUAUACAUUACAAAAUAGCCCCUUAAUUUAAUUUUUUUGAUCAAAACCUUCUUAAUAUUUGGUUCCUUGAAAUUGGAUUGAUUUUUGUCAAUUAAAUUACGGAUUUCAUCAAUACAUUGAUGAUUUCAACAAUUUUAAUAAUCUUAAUUACAUCGUAGAAGUUAAAAUAAAAAAAACAUAUAAUAAGUAAUAGCUAACAGAGCAAUCUAAGUUAAAUAAAAUUUUAAGUAGAACUAACUAAAAUAAAUAAUUAACAAAAAUUAGGAGCUACAUAGUACUAAAAAAUAUCAGCGAACAAUGUUAGUCUGGAUGUUAAAUAAAUAAUGAACAAAAGUUAAGAGUUAAAGAGUAAAUCAUAAAAUUAAUAUAUCCUCCAAAAGUUUCUACUCAUGGGUAAAAUAAACAUUUCAAAUUUUAACUAGCGUUCGACCACCAUCUAACUAAGAUUAAUAUGACUUAAAAAAGACAGAGUAUAAUGGUGAGGAUAUUUUUGAAAGAAAGUAUGUAUUUAGAAAGGUAAUUAUGAUAUAAUAAAAUUUAUAAUGAUAUUUAUAAUAUUUUUGAAAUUUAGAGGGAUACGAAUGAAAUUAACCCAAAAAUAAAUAGUGAACAAAUUAAGGGUGAAAUGAUAAUUUCAUAUUUUGAAGUAAAAUAAAAAAAAUACUAAACUGACGGAAGUUAAAAAAAAUUAAUUGUGAGGGUAUUUAUGAAAAAAAUAUUAUAUUUAGAUGGGCAUUUGCAAAAUUUUAAAAAUUCGAAGAGUAUUUAUUAUAUUUCAUAACUUUGUGAAGGUACAAAUAAAAUUAACCUUUUGUUUUUAAUGAAUAAAGGAACAACUACUGCACCAUAGAAAGGUUGUUACUUGUUAUUGCAAUCGCCAUCUAAGACAUCUGAGGUUUGAAUUUCUAUAUAUAUAUAUAUAUAUAUAGAAUUGAGCUAAAAUACUUUUAGAUACAGCUCUCAGUAAAAAUAUCGAAUAUCACAUAUAUUAAUUCUAUGAAGUUCAACUUUUUUUAUUUAUUUUUAUAAAGGUUUAAUGAUAUUCAUGUUUGUUCCUCUAAUUUGUUAUCUUUGGAUUGAUGUUUAUUUUUUAACAGAAGAUAAGCGAAAAGGUUUUUUUUUCAUCACAAAUAUAUUCUUCUAAAAGUCUAAACUGUCAGAAUUAUAUAGAAAUGCCUUUCAAAAAAUUUUGUAGCGAUACAUCUGAUAUUAAAUAUGUUUAUAGAAAGCUAUAUACAGUUAACCCUUAAAAAUAUAUGGAUUCUAUCUUCGUAGAUUAUGUAAUAGUUCAGUUUGGAAUUAUGAAGAGGAUGUAUUACCUACAUAAGAAAGUGCGACAAAGAAAAAAAAAUUAUGUUUCUUUUAUGAUAUUGUCUCAACCAGAAUAAUUUCAUUUCCAUAUAAUUUCUUUAAUUCUAUUAGAAACCAAACAAACAUAUUUUUAAAUAUUUUUUUAUUUUAACUUUUUUUGACCAAUAAUCUUAGAAUAGACCUCCAUGCAUUAUGAGAGGAUUUAGAACAGCAGAACUACAAGCAAGUUCAGAAAUAAAAGAUCAAAUUAAAUAAAAUGAAAUUAAGAUACUUGACACGUUUUUUUUUUCUUUUUUUUUUUUUUUGCCUUUUUGAUUUGUUUUGAUUUUAAUAGUGUUUAACUUAUGAAACCCUAUAUUAACAACCCAAAUGACACUUGUGGAAAAAGAAAAGAAGGAAAGAAAGAAAAGCACUUGGGAUCAGAUUACGUGAAUCCAUGCAAUAAUUAAGUUGGUCCAGGAACAUUCGCACAUGCUUUGGAUGGAUUAUUAGUUCUUUAAUUGUAACUCUUAAGUUGACACCGCAAACUUUCGACUUUCGAGUAUUGCGAUUGGUAGCUGAGAAUGCUACUUAUAAAUAAUUAAUAUUUUAGUAACUCAUAUGUACAAUCUGAAAUAUGUAUCAUAUAAAUUUGUCAAGAUGUGAUUCAGAUCCUAAAAUUGCGAUGACCUCAAUCUCAAAACAUGUAGAAAGUCUAUGAACACUCUUUGCAUGGAUCAAAAGCACGAGAUGCAAUAAUAGUAAUUUUCCUGAUGAAUUGGAUAACUAUAUCCUAUUAUGUGAGCAAUUUUUCGGGGUACGUUGCAUUGUACCCAUAAAUUAACUAUAUGCUUCACUAGGCAUCGGUUCUUUUUCUUUCUACUUUUGUAUCUCAUCUUCUUUAGAAAAAUUCUAAAAUACAACACUUGUAUUACUGAUGUGGUGUUCUCAAUUAAUAAAAAAGUUUUUUUGAAGUUUAUUCAUCCUAUCAUAGUAUUUAGAAAAUAUUUUUUUUUGUACUCUCAAAAUAAGAAAAAUAAUUGAUUAAAAAGAAUAAUGUGGUGUAAGUAUUAUACAGUAAUUUUUUUUUUUUUUUUCAGAUGAGAUGCAGAAUGGAAUGUUCUAAACAUGUUUGGUUUGCUGGUGGACAGACUGGACUUCAUGGUGUUUAUGCUUUUCCAGCCUGCAGAAUUCACGGCGCCGCUGCAGAAGUAGAAAUAGAGGCAAAACCCGUGCAGCUUCCUUUUUAAAGCCGUUUUAGUGUCCCAGACGUCCUUCACCAGUGAAACCAAGUUUAGGUGGAACUCAUUAAUUUCUUCGUACGUACGCCUUUCUAAGAUAAUAUAAUAGUUUUAAUUUUAGAUAAAAAUAUAUAAAAUUUAUGUGAACUAUAAAUUAUCUUAAAUUGACUAUUUAAUUUUUUAAAAAAUUUAAAUUUUAUCUAUUCGAGAGCCAAUAUUUAAGCACUAGUGUUGUCACUUUCUUUUAAUAUUAAAAUCUAAAACUAAUGCGUAAAUCCUUAAAUGCAAAGAUCUAAUAUUUGCACCUCACUUUUCAAUGUGCAAAUAGCAUUUCUCCUAUAAUUGUACCCUUAUUAUUCAACAGAAACUAUUCCUUUAUACAUGAGGGGUGAUCCCACUUCUGAUGUUCACUUGAAAUACUAAUGCCCAUGAAUUAUUUUUAUUUAUUUUUUAUUUUUUAAGGGAUAGAUAGCACGCUAUCCGUUUCGUUUAUUUCACUUAGAAAUAAACUUAGUUAGAAACAUGAAUCGAGUAGGAUUCGAACUUGGGUCCCGGGUACCAACCACCAAGUCCUUUGCCACUUGCUCUAGGGACGGUCGGUUAAUGCCCAUGAAUUAUUACCGGCUAGAAUUUGGAUAAAAAGAGUAGCUGGUAGUCAAUGAGAGCUAUUUAAAAGGCCAGAAGUUCGGAAGUUAGCAAAAUAUCUAAUAAUUGAGAACACUUGAGAAUAUAAUAUAAUGCAGCGCAUAAAUUAAAAUAAACAAAUUGUAGAGGUAACUGAUACUUCAUAAGCAAUACACAUACGAAUGGGACAAAUACUAAGGGUGUAAUGUGGGCCGUGCAGCGCCGCACGAAUCACAUUCAGAAUUUUAUAUCGGCCCUAUGUACACACAAUUUUUAUUUUUUAAAGUUCGAUAAAAAUUUAAAAUAAUUAAAAUGGCCAAAAUAUAUACUUUCUUAUAACCAGAUUUUAUUUAUUUAUUUUUUCUAUGCGGAGAUAUUUGAGUCUAAAACUCAAAAAUAUUUCCUUCUGAGUCUUCACGAGAUGGGCUCGGCCCAAUAGAGAGGAAAGGCCAGUUUUUGCUUAAAAAGAAAUUUUUUUAAAAAAUUUGAAUUUAUUCUGAAAUUAGUUUUGUAAAACACUAUCGGGCCGGAUCGCGGGCCAGCCGGCCCGUUUGGCACCCGUGCAAGCGCCUUGCAGUAUGUCUUCCAAAUCGUUGGCAAUCUCCUUUCCCCUUCCUUCGGAUCUUGCUCCCAUCAUUACCCCGAAGCGGGUGUCUCCAAGCCCUUCGAUUUAUUUGAUCCGAGACGACGACUACAACAAUGCGACAGUAAAUGUUCCCUCCUCUCUGCCUUAUCACUCUCCUCUCUUCCAGUUUAGCUUUUCCUUUUUCUAAUACCUUGUUAUUGUCCAUGCAAGAUAAUACAUUAGAUAAUAAUUGUGCAAAUAAGCGAUCUUUUCACAGGCAUAAUCUCCUGUGGUAACCUGAUACUGUCGAACAAUCAUUUGUUUUUUUAAAAAAAUAUUUUACAUUCAACAUGUAUUGGAGGACACUGAAUUUCAUCUGUGUCAAACAGCCUAUUGUAUUCCUUAUUUGGUGAUUGGGUUGUGGUUUUGAAUCAGAGUGAUUCUGAAGAGAGGGACUUGAUGGUGGGUGGGAGCAUAAGCUCUGAGUAUGUAAACGAUGUUACAAGAAACACUAUGUUGCAUACAUCAGAUAUUCUCGCAUUUCAUCUUUUAGAACCAAGGAAGAAAUCAACCAACUGUAUUCAUACAAAAAGCUCAUAGGGGACUGACUGUGUACCAUUGCUUAGCCGAAAUGUAAAUAUCUAGUGCUAGCGUAAAUGCUAGAGUCGAGUGCGAGAAUCAACUGAAAAGAAUACGAUGCUUUCUCUUAUCACUCGUCGUGCGUUACUCGAAGAUUACAUUAUUCUUGUUCUCUUUGUGCUGUAAAGGGUGAGCUUUCUAUAUUGCCUAGGUCAGAAUCAUAUUCAUGUCUCCAGGAAAAACAAAUGGUCCCCGUCAUGAAUCACUGUAAUAUCGUCUAUUUCUGCGUACUCUUGAUUGACCACUGUAAUUGGAUAAUAGCCAGGAAACUUCUGCCCUGCAAUGUUGCAACAUACAGAAAUAGCAGUAAGGCCAUGUAGGAAUAAUUCAGUUCGUGGAAAUAAAUGCCCUUUAAAAGCUUGUUUUAGGUUUAGGAUUUAGAGUGUCGACUGAACCUAAUUUUUGUAGAUUUUCUUGUCAAAUAUUCUUGUGAUGAAAGAACACUUACUAGCAGUCGUAAAAAGCUCCUCAAGGGAACCAGGUAGAUUUAUUAGUUUUCCAUUCCUUAUUCUUGAACUUUUCGGCUGUUGAGGAUGCAUAUGAAUGGUAACUCUUUUGUUGGUUGAUUUCGCAUUGUUGUUGUCAACCAAGUAUCUGCCGCUUGAUGAACGUGUAUCUGUUGUUAUCUCAGAAAACCUAGAGUGCGCGAUCACUUGGCUUCUCUCCCAAUCACCUUUAUCUGUAUUACUUUUUCCAAUGAUUUUCAUUGGUAUUUCAAUUAGAUGGUCUUCUACAAAUUCUGCCCUGUUUCUGUUACUCGACAAAUGUAGAUGGUUGUCUUCCUUUGCUUGUUUGUCCAUGUAUGCCCCUCCUUCAGGCAAAACAGUGACUAUAUUGAAUUGAUCCUUUUGGACAGGCCUAUAAAGGGCUGUUCUGCCAUCUGCAUUUGUUGAAUUUGCAUCACUUCCACACCUUGGAAAUCCAUUAAUUGCACUUAUUUCAUGAUUUUCUGCUUCUGAUGUCAACAUCAGCUGUGUUUGAACCCGAUUUCCGUCAAAUGGUGGGGUGGAAAAUUCCGAAUCAUUCUGCUGCACUCUAGCAGAUGGGCUUUCAUGCAGCUUCAGCUUCUGUAAAACGUUUUCAGAAGCAUAAAUUCCUAUUCUGCCAAAAUGAGAACAUUAUUAUGCAAUUCGUUGGUGUAACUAGAAAAGAUAAAUAGUAACUAUACCUGGAAAAGGUUCUUCAUUACAAUUGUCCCGUCUUCUAUAUUUUCUCGAAUAAUGUUCGUGACUGUAUUUUUGCUUAGUCUCAAUAGUUGUGAAAUUUCAGUCGUACGAUAAGUAAAGGAUUGUGGCCUGUUUAAGAGAACCCCUGUCUCUCCAAAUAUGUCCCCAGCAGCUACUUUUCCAAGAACCUGAAUGAUGCAAGCAAUCCAGAUGUCAGUUUAUGUAUCUCACCUAUUUAUUAGUUUGUUUAUGUGAAGGAAAACUCGUACUUGUUCGAUCCCAUCGAUGCUUGCUCUCAAUUCCUGCAAAAUAAGACAAUAAGCAUUAAAAUUGAUGGUGAAAUAUAUAUAUAUAUAUAUAUAAUCUUAAGUCGAGAAUAAAGAUUAGCAUAAAGAAGAUGGUUAUACUAACCACUGUUCCUGAUACCAAUAUGUAAAUGUCUGAUGGAGCUUCAUUCUGAAGAAUUACAUCUUCUUUAGGAGGAAAAUACUCGGCCUGCAUUUCUGUAACCUAUUUUUGGUGCAAAAUUAUUACCAUAUGAGUGCUGUUUGUAAGGUUUAUGCUAUGGAUAGUGCGUUUGCAACAUGUGUUUAAAUUCAGGAUGCUAUACCAGUUGAAAAAUGAAAUUAGAGGAAACUCCUUGGAAAAGAUAGACUUUCUGUACGACGGGGAAGAACAAGUGGUAUGCUAUGCUUGACCGAAUUCCUUUGGGUAGACCGGUCAAGGUUUCGUGUUGUUUGAGGCCAUCUGUCUUGAACCUUAGGCAUAUGUGGAAUAACAUUUGAUCUUUUAUGUGUUCUGUUAGCUUAUUCCGUGCGGCGAAUUCAGAAGCAGCCUGGAUUGCAUCCCUCUACAGCAUUUAAGAAAGGAAGUUAAUAACGUGACGGGGAGAAAGUAAAAUAAUAAUGUUGCAUAUUUGAAUGUCAAAUGGGCUAGGUGGCCCGUGGGCUGGCCCAGCCGAAAACGAGCGGGGACAUGCUGGGCUGCUCCUUGUUGGGUUAUGGUCUAGCAUGGCCUAUGUCCACAGUCUGCAGCCUGACCGGGCACAGUCCGAUACUUAUUUUUUUAUUUUUUUUCUUUUUACAAAUAUGAUUAUAAUUAUUUAAAUUAUAAUUUUUUUAAUAAAACUUAUAUAAAAGUUAUCUAAUACGAAUAACUAUAUACAUUUUAUAAUAUACUAAUGUUCAAAAAAUGUAAAAAAUUAAAAUUAAAAAAUUUAAAAGAUGUUUAAAAAAAAACAUGCUACAUUGGGCCCCGCUCUUGGUCCAACUUCCCACAGGGGCUGGGCCAACCCCACCAAAUGAGUUCAUAUUAAUUUGAAACUUUUUCUAGUUGGUCCAUAUACAUAUUUAUACAAAUACAUAUACAUACAUAUAUAUACAUAUGCAUAUGCAUAUACAUACAUACAUAUGUUGAUAUAUAUGUAUGUGUGUGUGCGUGUGUGUAUCCAUAGUCCGGCUGGGGUGCUUCUAAUAGCACCAAAUACUUGGUGCUAUCAAGUUUUCCGCCGUUAGAUUUACUCUUUUGACCAUUUUCAUUUGUUAGAUUAUACUAUUCAACCAACCAUCCACUUAAUCCUAGGAGACUACUAUUAUCCAACCACACAUCCCUUCAUCCAAGGGCCCAAAACUUGAUAGCACCAAUGACUUGGUGCUAUUAGAAGCAUUGCAGCCUAAUUCUAUAUAUAUAUAUAUAUAUAUAUAUAUAUAUAUAUAUAUAUAUAUACUAAGGAGUUUGAAAGGCUACCUCAAAUUAGAACUAAAUGCUCUUCCUUUUCUUUCUGUGUAAUAGGCCAAUUUGGAGACCCAUUGCAUGUAAUAUUCAGUGAAUUCAAGUGAAUUAUUCGGCAUAUAUAUUUGUUUAUUUCCCUUGGGUAACAGGUAAUACAGGGCAUAUUUAUUGACAUGUACAAGGGACUAAAAAAAUUUUCUUCCUGAUUUAGUUUGUCAUAGGGUAAGACUAAAGAGUGCAUAUAAAUUGAAAUUUUGAUAACUGAGAUUUUCUUGAAACAGGGGGAAGAGCAAAACUUACGAAAUUUCUGGUGCGGCUUGUUCCAUGGACAACAAGGUUCGUCAUAUUGCCAAUGAGGUAUGCUGUUAAGCCCAAAUUAAAUAGCAUGUAAAAGAUGUCAAACAGCAUUUCUCUUGGAUUCUCAGCAUGUAAGUCGCCGUAACCAGUCGUCGUCAAAGUCGUAAUAGACCAGUAAAUUGCAGUGACAUAUGUGAUCCACAGACUUUCUGAUUUGAAGUUUGGCAUUACUGCACCUAUCCAUGUUCUCUGUGGAUCAGGGUAUCUAUCGGCAAGUAAGUAGUAGAAGCAGCCAGCACAGUGUACGGCAAAAAGAGUAACCUGCAGUUUAGUUAGCACAUUUGUAUGCAUUAUGGACUAAUUGGCUGUUUGGUUUAGCUUUCCAGAACUGAUUCUCCACUUACAAAAGCAGCCAUUGGCAUUUGGCAAGUAAGUGUCUGGAGCUUUUUUUUGUGGCAUGAAGCUGAAAUGAGCUUUCAUGUCCUAAACUUUGAUUGCAUCUGUGAUAAAAAGGGCAUAAGGAAAACGCUUGAAGGCUUACCAUAACAAGUUUUGUGCAUCGAGUCCAGAAAUAGUUGAACCGGAUAUCCUUCUCGAGCCUAAUGAAGUAGAGCUGGAAUAGUGAGUAUAUCCAUCUUUUAUGGUUGUCCUAUUUUGAAGAAGCUGGAAAAGAUUCAGACCUUGCGAAUAAGGAACUGACUCGACGAAGACGCCAAAGUCUAAGCAUGUUGAGUAUCUUAAAGGCAAGGCCGUCUUCAUGAGUUCUAAACAGGAGGCUAAUUGGUUGAAAUGGAGCUGUCGAACAGACAUCAAAGAUGAACCAGGAGGACAGGUACCUGUGGCUUAUAUCCUGUUAGCAUCAUUCACAUAGCUUGAGUUUUUCUAAUUCACUUUUACAAUUGAAAUUAGUACAUUGGAUACGAACCUGGAGGCUAUUCUCUUUGGAUUAUCCACUAAAAGAUAUGAUUUGCGAUCUAGAUAAGCCACAAAGAAAGUGAGGACAAUAUCAACCGCGAAGAAGAUAUUUACAAUGUUCUCAACUACGAAAAGUUUGUGUGCCAAGUGCCUCAGAAAUGCUAGUUCGAAUGGGCAGAUCCAUGCGGAAUAAAUAACUAGGACGAUCAGGAACAUCUCCCAGGCUCUGAGGAGGCACAUAAGAAAAGGUAAAGGUGGAUUGCUGUAUCUGAAUUUUCCAAACUGUAUCUUAAUAUCAGAAAUAUAAGAGGCACAAGGAAGUGAUUUUACCUAUAACGAGGAUCAUAAGGAGAAAUGAUGAACUUUCUCAGCUUGAUUGAUUGGUUUAUUGUUGCUCCAAGAGAUGGCAGUAGGUCGCCAGAGAAGUCGUUGCUUUUGUUUUCCAUUGGGAACCCGUCGACACAGAAACAUUCUAAAUAGGAUCUUGCCCAAGUGAGGGUCAUGUUUGCGUUUCUAUGUUUUCCAGAGCUUUGUUCCUAUGUAAGGGGAGGUGUAGUGGCUAUAUAUACACACACACACAUAAUCGGUUGAGGCUGUCUAUGAUUGAAGUCAACUGGAUUGGAUGGGCUUGUUAGUGGGUCAGAAUGAAGGAAAAGAAGAUUGAAGGAAAACAAGAGAAGGUUUAGGUUUGGAUUCUAUGAGAAUACUAUUAAUAAAAUAACAAUGCCCAUGUGUUUGCUGUGGGCUUAUUUGGAGUGAUGCACACCGUUAUGUUAUUUAUGAAGUUGUAUUUUAUGAAAAGAGAAUUCAUGAAGAAGUAGUUGGAACUUCAUUAGUUCAUGGUUUUGCUAAUUUUGAAGACUAUUACAGAAAAGUUGAGAACAUAGUUCAUUUAUCAGCUUUGUCUAUAUUUAAGGGUUUUGAGCAAAGGCUAUCUUCAAUAAACACACAUGAAAGUUAUCAUGACCUGAAAAUCAUGUGAUAGCUGGUAGUUUCCUACUUUUGUUGCUGUAAAAGUUCUUUCCUGCAGUUAUCCAUCGUAAUAGGAGAGACGUGUGGUUCAGAUAAUUGCGAUGGCCAGAAAAAUUUCUGGUAUUGAGUGAAUGAUCAUGAUAAAACCUCUUUCGUCCUUAACUUCUUAUUAAUCUUUACUUCUAUAUUUUUCUCUCUAUAUCUGAACUGAUAAGUCAUGGAUUAAAAAAAAAGAUUUCCAUUUGAUAGCAGCACCAUGAAGAGGUUAAUUCAGGAUGUGACAGAUGUUUUUUGUAUAUCAUGUCAUUUGAGAAAAUGUUGGUACAGUCUUGCACAAUCUCAGUGUUAGCACGUGAAUUCAACUCAGCUUAAUAGUAGUAUGGGCCCCUGUAGAAGCAUCUUAUGCACAAGACCGCAACAUCUGGAUUAGUUGAGAAAGUGGCUCGCAUUAUCACAAACCAAUUCAGUGGUCGGGAACACUUGCAAUGCCACAAACGGAAGCAGUUGGCUCCACGAAUAUUCUGGAAUUUUCUCUACAUACGUUCUUGAGGGCUUCAUUCACGUGAGGUUGGCAUCGCAGCAUCGAUUCCCAUGUGUAGUAAUUGGGUUUGAAUAAAAUACAGGAAGUUAAGCGUCAAGCAGCUUUUCUCUCUUUCGUGUCCACACUGCCCAUGAUGGUAGAUUUAUGUCAGCCGGUGUAAAGUUUAAUAAAUUCAUCUGAAAUAUCUUGGUUAAGUCCCGUUGCGGCAUUUGUGGAUUGAAGUUGCCAUUUUUUAUUCCCACAGGUUGCUCCUCAAAGCUCAAAUCCUCGCGUAACUCUAAUGGAGUGGAGUCCAACACAUGAGCUGGAUCAAAACAUAGAUGGUUUUCAAUUUCUGGCCAAGAAAUCACUGCAUCUAUCUUCCAACUGGGACCACUUUCUUUGGGAUUAAGGGCCAGAUAUAUCGAUUAUUAUAUCAGUGAUUACGGAAGUUUCCUCUCUUGUUCGUUGUUCCGUGCCGUUUUCAAUGGUUCUGAUUCUAUUCACUGUAUGGUUAGUUCACCCCCCGGUUUAGACAUUUCAUAUCCUUUCAUCCCCCUCCCAUCUAGAUCAACCGGUAUCAAACAAUACAAAUUGGACCAUUCUGGUAGGCUACAACUUUUUAUGGCCAUGUGAUAGUGGGUAUGAAUGCUCUCCUGGUACGAUUUUUCGCUUUGAGCUGUAUUAUUGUUAUUGCUACUAUUAUUAUUUCCACUGACCACUAAUUGUCUAUUUCAGAAAGAUGUUCAAAAUAAAUUUGAUUACCUCCUGCCAAAGAUUGUUUAAUUCAUGUCGCAAGCAGUUCCUGCUCUCUAUAACGACAUGAUACCCAGCUUCAAAAAGAGAAAGUAUUGUGGAAGGGCUCAUGCAAUGUCCGUCUUUCUCAUCAGGUUUGAACCUAUUCUCUUUCUAAUUAGUAGAUAUCAAUUUGUUUAUUCAAAGCUAAGAUCUUUCAGAGUCACAAAGCUUAAUAUAUAUAUAUAUAUAUAUAUAUAUAUAUAUAUAUAUAUAUAUAUAUAUAUAUAUAUAUAUAUAUAUUAUUGCUUGUAUUUGGACCACUUACAGAGAAUCUAGUAUCUUCCUGCUGCUGCACAGGGUUCUUGGAAGGAGCCAUUGAAAUUAUCCAUCUAUUUCAAAGAAUAAAAAAGUCACAUGGCUCUUCGAAGCCAGGAUCGUUUGUUUACGCCUAAUGUGGACUGAAUGGCAAAGUUGUGCACUUUGCCAUUUCCAGUAACCCUAUUGAAGGCCUCGGUCGACGUCAACUGAGGUCCCCCUCUAUCUUCAAAUGGGCGAUCAAAGUCUUUAUUGCAGGCUUCACCCCACCAUGCGAAUCCUGACUUCUAAGAGUGGUCCUCCAUCUCAGAAUAGAUCGAAAACAUCUCUCCUCUUGUCAUUUAUAUUGUCAUUACUCCAACCUUGUAGAUUCCUUCGCAUCUUCUAUCAACCUAUCAACUUCUAUAGCAAUUGGCAAGGGCAGUACCAUGUGGGUAGCCAUCGCCCAUCGUAAUGUACUACCGGAUAAGGCCCCCUUUGAAAACUUAAAUGAUGCGAAGCUUCACCUCUGGAGUCUCGGUCUGAUUAGGGGCGUACUAACAAAAUAAAGUUGAAGGCUCAGUCUCCAUAAUUCAUCUUAGUAAAUUGUGGCAUAAAGUGGAACUUAUUCGUGAUCACGAAACAAUUGAAAUGAUGAGUGACCGUGGUUGAGUCUUCAAUCUACAUAUUGACGGCAUGUCCGAAUUGGAUAAGAUUGCUUUGGCCUUCCACUUGUGGAUCGAUGUGUGCUCUGAAGCUCUGGAGCCAAGGUAAAAUAUUGAACACUUUUCAUUUCUUUUUUUAUUUUCUUGUCUUUUUAUUUUGUUUCUUUUUGGUGUUUUAGGUGUUGAUGUGGGGUGUGCUGAAUGUGCCAAGGAGCAUGUGAUGUUGCUAGGGUGCAAACAAAUGAAAAGAUGUGAGCCAUUUCAACUGGUGAGAUUGGGUAUGCAGGGGCCUCAUUUUGCUUUUGUGUGGCCAACAUAGCAAUAGUACUUACCUGCACCCAAAACAACCUGCACCCAAAACAAAUUCUAUUAUGACUUGAAUUGGAGAAACGUAGCAUUCGCCAAUUCAAACUUCAAUUAGAAUAACAAUAAUACCAAUGAUCUAAUCAAAGAAAAACGUCGGAAACAAACAAAGUAUUGCAAACUUCUUCCUAAUUAUUGAUGCGCCAUUAUUCCAUGCACGGCUUUUCUGAACUGAUAUAACAAGAGGUAUUGUCUCGGUCAUGUGAUAUUUCCUUUACAAUACGAGGGAAGAGAAAAUUAUAUGUAAAAGAAUAAUGGUGAAAUUAUUCUUAAAUGAAAUAGAUGGACUAAACUUGUGGGCAUAUCUUCGAGAGCGUUGGCUAUGAAGAAUGAGCUUGUUUUCUAUUCGUAAUAUUGCUUUAGAAGAGAAAAGGAGAAAUCGUUGCGUACAUAUGGUGUAUAUUAUACCACAUUUUAUAUCUAUAUCUAGUAACAUACUUGUAUGUAAUAUUUGAUGAACAGUAAUUUGUAAUAUAAACAACUGUUUCUAGCGCAAGUGGUAAAAGUGCAAGUGGUAAAAGACUUAAUAGAUGGUAUCUGAGAUUCCAGUUUGAAAUAUAAUUAUUUUACAUUUCCAACUAAGUUUAUUUUUUAAAAAAAUAAACGAAACGAGUAACAUAUCACUUUCUCUUUUAAAAAAAAAAUUUGUGAUAUAAAAUAUUUAAGUAACUUUUUUGUAAUGAAAUAUAUAUAUAUAUAUAUAUAUAUAUAUAUAUAUAUAUAUAUUAUAGUCGGUGUACACUGUGCACAGGGUUCGUCCAAAGUUUGACACGGACAUGUGGUCUUAUAUGAUUCGUUCACACCUUCAUGGAGGAAAAGUAGGAGGUGGAAAAGGAGCACGUGUCGAGGGGCCUUUAUGUUCCGUGGACUGAGUGUGCGUGCGCGCGUGCGUAAUUUUGCUCUACGAGGUAGAAUUGAAAUAAGGUAAAUUGUACUGGAUGGUACUCGUACUAUCUUUGUAUUGCAACCUGGUCCCUGUACCUCUGGUUUUUUUUCCCUAGAACUAGAAUUGGACUUAUAUGAUGCACUUUCGCCGUCGAAUAUGAAGAAAAUAUUGAAUUUUUUAUUAUAAAAUAACUUUUUAAUAAUGUAAACAUUGUUCGGAAGGAACAAAAUAGACUUUUUAAAAAAUUAAUCAUAAUUUUUUCAACAUAAAGAACUACUAUAAGUACAGUAUACAUUAAAGUUCGACGACUAAAUUAGCAAUAUCAAGAUAGUACAGGGAUUAUCCAUAUAUUUUGCUCACUGGAAAAAUUAUUAAGUUAUUCAAGGUAGGUAUUGUUUGAAUAAAUAUAAAGGGAAUUUGAGCACAUGCCCUGCGUUUCUGUAAACCUUUUGCGGUCCUGCUGAUGGCGGAAAGUGGUCACGCAAAUUAAAGCAUGAUAUAUGCAUGUAACGCAUGGUCACCAAGCUCAUUAAUGUCACCCAAAGCGAACUUUUGACCUUAUAUUAAGAUAAUAAUGGUAAUUGGCGUGGGAAGGGUAAUGCGAAUAAAUUAAUAUUUAUAUAUUUGCAAAAUUGCAAGGCUUUUCUCUCGUACUAUAUUGUUUUAUUACGUGUUAUCCUAUUUUACCUUUCGUUCUUGGUACACUAAAGUAGAACUAUUAUACAUUUGGCAUAAAGCAAAGGCCUAGAAAAUUCGACCUAGGUCGAUCUUGUUAACUUAAAUGAAAUAAUUAUUAUAUUCUAAAAGUUUAAGCUUACACGGAACGGGAACGGGAACGGUGUUUUAAAUAAUUUUAUAUUUAGCACUCUCGAUAUUUUUUGCCGAGUCCAUGGCGUGGACUUGAAUUAAAUAGAAGAAAAUUAAUAACGCUCCUCUAGCUCUGUUACUAUGUUAAAUUAAAUUAGAUGAUCAUUUUACUUUAAAAUUUAAAUUUAUAGAGAACGGUAUUUUAAAUAUUUUUAUAUUUACAAGCAUAAUCGGUCGGAUCGUAACCGAGCACCCAAUUAAACUGGUUCCGUUCAACCUAUAGAACCGGAUCGGUUUAAAAUUUGUUUUGUCCCGUUUAGAUCGGCGAUUCAACUAGUGGGCCGAUGAACCAGUCCGGCUUGAUAAGAAUCGGUCAGGUUUCUCUUUAUUUUAAAAUUUAAUAAUUAAUUAGAAAUGUACAUUAAUUUUUUCAACGAUCUUGCAUUUUGAGUAUAUUUUAAAUAUAUAUAAUAUAAUAAUAUAUUUAAAUAAUGUAAAACACUAUAUUUAGAAUAUAUUUUCAUUAUAUAUAGUAUGAAAAAAAAAUUAAGUAUUUAUAACGUCACGGAUAACAUCGUCUGAAAAAGAUCAAUACAAAGAAGUCAAAUUAGUAUUGGAAAAGAGCGCGAUUUUAUUCUCAUUCCGAUUCGGAUUCUGAUUCCAUUUUUUUUUAUUUCUGAUUCCAAAUGCAACACGUGCCAACAUCCAUACUAGACGUACAAUUCGUUGCCGACUACGUGUUCGUGAAAUGUUUUGAGUCGUGAGGGGCCUCACUCGUGCGUCGCAUUCUUCGAUUGCGUGGUGUUUUCCGACGUGUCUGAUGCUCGAUCAAUCUUAACCUUUCUCACUCCUUCGGUGAGUAGGAUGAGAGGGCUAGAAAUUCUCUCUCUCCAUCAUAAAGCGGGGAGAACCUUUGAUUAGGAUUUUUUUUUUUAGACAAUCCGCUAUCGCUAGCGCAAGUGAUAAAGAGAUUAGUGGUUGAUACUCGAGAUCCCAAAUUCGAAUUCUAAUUUAUUCAUAUUUUUAGCUAAAUUUAUUUCUAAGAAAAUAAAUAAAGCGGAUAGCAUGUCACCUUUCUCUCUCUUAAAAAAAAAGCUUAAUUAUCUAAACCAUGAAUCACUGCGAUACUUUAAGUUCAAAAUUUAAAUAUAUUAUUUAUUUUUAUAAAUUUAGUCAGUAUAUUUUAUGUAAUUUUCGGAACUAUAAACAUUUAAAGUCAAAGUAAUAUUGGAUUACUCAAAUCAAACAAUUAAAAGAUGUUGAAAGUUUGGAUUGCUUAUUCAAAAUGGUCUAGAGUUUCUUUUUAUUCGGACCUUGCAAAACAGAAUAUAUGCUUGAUAUUUUUUUUCUUCUCUUUUUGGCUUUUAUGUCAAUCCUUUUGACAUCGACUAGCCUUCGUGGCAACAUUUUUCAAAUAAUUUUUAUGUUGUCAUCGAUUCCACGGUGCAAGUAAAAUAUGGUAAUUUCAGACAUGAUAUGAAAAUACGGGCCAAACAUGAUUAGAGAUGGCCUAAAAUUACUAUAAAAACACCCAAAUAUUGACUUAACACAAAUCCCUUUAAUUAAAAAAUAAUACCGUAUGAUAUGAUAUGAUAUGACAUAAGUAGAAAAACAUGUUAAGAUUUUGAGUAUUUAUAGUUUUAGUACUUUUAGCGUGUUUUGUACAUUUUGAUGACUAAUUAAUACGAUUAUAAGUUUAUGUUGAUAUGUGGGGAUAAUUCUUAUGAAAGGUUAUUUUUGUUCAAUCUAAAUGUACUCUAUUUUAACAUCUUACUUCAUGCGUGCAAGCAUAAAACUAUUGUGUUAGAAUAAAAUGAGAUUUAUACCAAAUUUUGAUACCAUGGUAAAAGGUUUCUACUAUUCUAAAAACUUAAGCUAGUAGAUAAAAAACGUUUACAUAUUGUGAAACAGCCGUUGUACUCUAAAAGGUUAAGCUGUUAGAUAACGGUGUUUAAACAUUUUUAUAUUUAACACUCUCCCUCACGUCUGGGCUCGAGAUUUUUUAGUCGGCCCAUGACGUGGGCUUGAUAAAUAGGAGGAAAUUAAUUAUACUAGGGGUCUGACAUGAUUUGAACUCAGGACCUUUUGCUCUGAUACCAUGUGAAACAACCGUUGUACUCUAAAAGCUUAAGCUGUUAGAAAACGGUGUUUAAACAUUUUUAUAUUUAACACAUAUUAUAUACAAAUCAGAUUUUUUUUUUUUUUUUUAGUUUAAUACGAGACAAAUAUAUAUCCUUAACAAGAACUGUGAGAAAAUUCAAGAAACACUAAUAAAACAAUGAAGAUAGGGAAUCCGCGUGCUACGUAGCAAUGAGAUACAGGGAACUUGUCAUUGUUGGAAACUGAGAGUUGAAUCCAAACUCUUUUAGGGAUAGAUGAUGACAAGUCGUUGUUGGAGACUUAGUUUGGAAAUAGAGAGGGGGGGAGGGGGAUGAAGCAAAGCAACUAAAAAAAAUAAAAUAUCUUUGUUGGACUUUUUCGGGCUCCACUAUUUAUGAGAUGUAGUUUUCAAAGGACAGGUCAAAAGUGCAGCAUCUAGGGGGAGGUCCCUGGACUUUUUAGCCAAAUCCAGUAGGUUGGGGCUCAACAAAUUGGUUUAGGUGACCAUGUGCUCAAAAGUUGUCCUACAUGGUUCAUAAAAUUUUGGAUUUAUUGAAUCAUUCACUGCGGAUCUCGACGUUGGGGGUAGGUUUGCAGCUUUUGCCUUGUAUGCAUUGCAACCUACAAAACUUUUAUGUAGGUUAUUAGUUUGGUAGGUUUACGUAAUGUAGUUGAGCCGAUUUUCUGUAACCAUAAACUGCUAGGUCGGUUGACCAGCAUCUUUUAUUUCAGAAGUAUUGCAGUUAUGAAUGAUAAGUGCGUGCGUACGUAAAUGUUUGUGGGCCUUUUGUUCGGAACGUAUUUUAGUCAUGAACAUAAGAGCAUGCAUGGAUGCCUAUGGACUUAGUCAAACCAAAAAAGAGAAGAUAAAAUGUACUGAAACUCUCACAACUUCAAUUUUAUUUUUUUGUAAUUAACUAGAAGGUCAAAUUAGAAAUGGGUGUUGAUAGAAAAGAUUAAGUUGAAGGACUUAAUUCAUAAUGACGUAUACUUGUGGAAGCACGAGUAAUUUUUCCGUUUUACCAAAAUAAAAGAAGGAAGAAAGAAGAAGAAAUAAAGUACCUUCCGUUUAUAUCUAGACUCCUAUAAUUAUUUUUUCACAAAAUGUUUAUUUAAACAUUAUGAUAUUUUGAUAUAUUUCCUGUUACUUUGUAAUACUCCUGUUUAUAUCUGGACUAAAGGCUUCUAAUUGAGCUUUGUUUGAUUACGCAUCACAUGGGGCUUGUAAAAUUUAAACCUAUGGACCGUUCAUGUAUAACACAGUUAGCUAAAGACUUAAUAGUUAAUAUUCGAGAUUAUAAGUUUAAAGUUUUGUUUUUUACAUUUCUAAACCCUAAACUCUAAAUGAACAAAGUAGUUUGCUAUUUUUCUCUGAAAAAAUAAAAUAAAAUCAGCAUUCGAUCCUAAGAUAACUUCAGGAAAUAAUUAGACUAUGCCUACGUGCUUUAAUCUCCAGAAAAAAAAAGAAAGAAAGAAAAGGAUGUAGCUUGCUCCAGGAUUUGUUCGACAAAUUUUACGAGACUAUGAUGACGGGCCAAGGUUUGGGAAAUAAUUUUUAUAAACAUUGGCCCCUCGAAGAUAGGCCUAAUUAAAAACCAGUCCAUUUACAAAUUAGUCCCGGUCCAUUCUGAGUCUACCCAAAAAGCCCAACAAGCACAAGGGUUUUUUUUUCAGGAGUCCCAUUUUUCUGGCCCAUUCGGUAUUGAGGACGGUCUAAUAUUAUUAGAGCCCAUUUGGUAUCGAGACUUAUCGAACAUUAUUAGACAAAACAGAAUUAAAACAACAAUAUAUAUUGAUACAUUUCUCUAAUUUUUUUUUUUUUUUUUUUUUUUUUUUACAGGAUGAUAUAAAAUAUAUCGUAAUUGAUUGUUGCGAUACACGUAAUGUAAUAUUACUUAUGAAAACAAAUUGAUAUUUUUCUAUCUUUUUUCACCUGCUCAUAGCACAAUAUUCCCUUGAAAUCGUAAGCAGAGCAAUAGACAAAAAAAUGAGUUGGGACAAAAACAUGUAAAUUAAGAUAUGAUUCUCUAUUUCUCAAUUUGGGACUGCAGAGGAAUUUAUACUUUAACCCAACUACUGCGAUUCUCAUGAUAACUUAGUUCUUAUGAAAACAAGUAGAUUAUUUUUGUAACUUACUUUUCUAUACGUAUAAUACUUACUUUUCACUUUCUGUAACCUCAAAAAAUAGCCUAAACUUCAGAGGAAAAAGUAGUAACAUAGAGGUUCUAUUUUUGUUGCAUAGAGAAGCACUAAAAUGAAUCCAAUAAACACAACAUUUUUAGCUUUUUUUUUUUUUUUUUUCCUUUUUUUUUUUUUGCUUUUUUCAAUAGCAGUGCUCAAACAGAUACAACGAGCCAGAUUAAUUAGGUAUGGGAGAUUAAUAGAUUUUUUGAUUAAAAUAUUCUGUUUAACAAUGAUUAUGUUAAACAUCAACUCAACUCAUUGAGAAACCAAUAAUUGAAAUUGGCGUGUGCGUAGUACGUAAAUCAACUCAUAAGCCCACACUGUGUCCACAUAUAAAUUGAAAAUAAGCAAAAACUAAUAAAUUAAGUUGAAGCCCACCAAAACCACAUUAAAAAAAAAAAGAAACUCAAAGUUUGAAUAUACUGAUUAUUAAUUUUGUACGAAUGAAGUAAUGAUUGGUUUUUAAUCAGACCCAGUCGCAAUCAACAGGGAGGUGUUAUCCAAAUCAAAAUUGCUUUUAUAAUGCUGAUGUUAUUAGUGACAUAAUUCAUCAGCUUAAGAUUAGAGAAACGGUCACAAUCUGUUUAUAGUAAUCAAUCACUCAUGCACGUAGCUAAACCAACAUCACCAGUAUAUAUCAUCAAAGAUUAUUAUUGGAGGUUGUGGUGAGUUUAAGUAGUAAGAUCACAACAUAGAUACUAUUUUUCGCAAAUUAAUAUUGGAGGUUGCGGCGACUUAUAAUAGAAAGAUAACAACAGGCCACAGGCCAAAUUUGGAACUGUUUUUUUUUUUUAAAAAAAAAAAAGAUUCAUCCUCAAGUUGUUAAUAAUAGUGGUCACUAAAAAUUAUUCGUAUGGCCUUUUACAGCUAGUAUAGUUGGAUAAGAAAAUAAAGUAUUUACGAAGGAUUUACCGUCUACCAAAACUGUACAUUUUACUUUAUUAUUCUUAGCACUAAAUUGCAUUCUUUUGGGCCCUCCAACUUUAAGGCUCGGGAUAUUUUUAUUCCUCAAAUUUUAAUGUAUUAUAGUUUUUAAUUUAAACUCUUUAAAUUAUUACAAUUAAGUUUUAUAGUCUAAUUUAGGUUGACUGGAUAUUGAUAUUUCGCUAAUGUAGUAGCUUACGUUAUUGAUUAUAAUAGUGCCCAAUAAUUAGCAAUAUAUUAGAGACAGUGUUUAACCAACUAAGUUGAGUCGUGUGACUUGAUUGUAAUAAUUUAACAUAAGAAUACCUGAUACAAAAUUUUAUUUCCGAAUGCCCGUAAGUAGGUGGCAUUUCAUCUGGGCUUGUUUGGUUUAUCUACUAUUAGACUUUUGAAUCGAAAUUAAAUUUACUGAUUUCAAUAGUUUUUAUUUAUCUUACAGAAAUCGAAUUUUAAUUCUCAUAUAUUUCACUCUGGAAUGAAAAUGAUCAAAUUUAUUUAUAGUUUUGAAUUCUAGAUUGCCCAUUUUAACGUAAGUCGCUUAAAACUGUUUCUCCCAAAUCUCUCUCUUUCUUUUUUUCUUGAUCAUUCUUUUUUUUCUUAACCAAAACUUUUCUAUAAAAAUUCUAAAUAUUUAAUUUUUUUUAUUUCAAUUUUUAUUUAUUAUACGCAUUCGUUAUUUUAUUUUUUAUUUUCAUUCUAAUUAUAAACAAAACGUCCCCGUAAAGUAACAGAAUCUUGUACGAAAGGGAGUUCCAACGCAUACAUGGAUGUUUCUUUUAAAAGUGUAAUAGUACUUGGCACAAUAAGGAGGGGCUGAUGAUACGGGCGUGCCAACCCAUACCAUGCAUGGACAUUUCAUUUAAGGGUGCGUUUGUUUCGCGCUUUCUUUUUAAGAUUUAUAGUAAUCUAAUAGAAAUAAAAAAAAUAUGACGGUGUUCGACUAAACGUACUAAAUAAUCUAGGUGGUAAUAUUAGAUUUACUUAGAAAUGAGAUUCAUCCCAAAAUACUAAUCUCAUUCCUUUGAGGGAGGGUGGGUAUCCUCAUAUUAAUGAAUUGGGAUAAUCAUAAUAUGUUUAAUUUCUUUCUUUCUCUCUAUCCGCCACCUAGUUGGUAUUAUUUUUCUUUACACUCUAAUCUCAUAUCUCUCUCUAAACUUUUUUUUUUUCUCUCUAAACUUCAACUCUUUUUCUCUCUCUAAACUAAGCUCUCUCUCCCCCUCUUUUUCUAAAAUCUCAACUCUCUCACUCCCUUUAAUCUCAACUCUAUUUCUCUUCUUAUUUCUUUAAUUAUGCUCUCUCUCUCUAACCUAUGUUCUCUUUCUCUCUUUUUUUAAAAAGAUGUUGAAAUUUUUGGCGGCAUUAUCUAAAAUUAAUUAAAGAAAUAAAUAAAUUAAUUGUAUAUUUUUUGUAAACUUAAAUAACAUAACUAAAUAAUAUAACCGUGCGAACCAAACACAGGAAUGCUACAUUCUUAGUAAUAGGAUGAAUAAGAAUAAGAUUCUCGGACAUCUUUUUAUUGCUAGUAAUCUUUCAUAGUACGAACCAAACGCACCUUAAGGGUCAUUUGAUUGUAUAUAGUUGCAACUGUACUGCAACUAUAACUAUAUAUAAAUACAAAUUUGAUAUUUGAUUUGAUAUAUUUAAUUUUAACUGCUGCAAUAGCAACUAGCAAUAGUAACUACUGGAGGAGAUCCAAUUAUAGCAGUUGGAAUUACGCUCAAAUUGACCGCAGUUCCCACUGCAGCAAUUGGAGAGAGUAAAUUUAAGCAAAAAAUAAACUUACCUUUCUAAUUAUUUUUUUAACAAAAAAUAUUUUUUCUUUUUUACAUUAGAGGUAAUCUCACCAUCAUAUAUAUAAAAUAUUUUUAAACUGCAAGCAACCAAACAAAUUAUUUGUAAUUGCAACGUUUUCUACUACAUCCAACCAAAUAGAAUGCAUGUAGUUGCAAUUGCUACAUUUCAAUUGCAUGUAUCUCCAAAUACAUUGUAUUUCUAAUUACAUCUAACCAAACGGUCUCUCACUACAACAAAAACGGUCUAUAGUGUCACUUUUAAAUGUCGGUAUAAGUCAAAAAAAGUGCUACUAGCAAAAUUACCAACACUUUUAAAAAGUGUUGCUAUAUAUGAGGUCGCUAGGUAUAUAGUGACAUUAAAGAGUGUUGCUAUAAUCUAAAAAAGUGCUGCUAAUUUACCAACAUUUAUUUAAGCAUUUAGCAACCGCUGGAACUCUACCUCGUUGGCUGCGGUGGCAGAGGAGGACGAGAGGAAGGGAUCUACGUCUAGGAUUUCAGUCAAUUGAGUGAGGGGGGAAGGGGAAAUAAUAAUUGAUUUUUCUUUUCUUUUUCUUUUCUUUUUCUUUUCUGUUUAUAAUAGGGCCGAAUGGACUAGGUGGGGUGGGUUGAGUAGAGUAUCCUUUUAUUUUAGUUGGAUUGGACUUUAUAUUUAGGCAUUAGUAGGUUUUUUUUUUUAAGUUUUGGCAUAAAUGUGACACUUACACAAAAGUGUCCCAAACAUGUGUCCCUAUAACCUAAUUCUAUUGUAGUGUCUCAGGAGUCGUUUGGUAAUUAGAUGUAGCUGUAAAUACAGUGUAGUACUUAAAAAUACAUGCAGUUGAAAAUACAUCAGUUAUAAUUACACACAGUUUGUUUGAUUUUAUAUAAAUGCAACUGUUGUAGUUGCAUUUUUUCUAUUUGGCAAUAUAAAGUUGAUUGUUGUAUUUGUGAAUCUCGUCACCUUCAAAUAGAGUUGUGAGAUUAUCUUCACUAUACAUAAAAUAAUUGUAUAACUUUAUUAAUCCUUUAAACUUACUAUAUAUCCAUAAAUAAAGAAUUGGAUAUAUGUAAUGUUUUUAUAUUUUUCAAUAAUUCUUCAACUUAUCAAUCGACACAUUUAAAAUUUUCAAUAUAUUUAAUUUUACUAUGUAAAUCCAACUUUACAAAUUUAAAUAAUUCUCUCAUUUUUUAUCAAAUUUAAUAAUUAUAAUUAAUUAAAACUUAUUAAAUUAACAUACACAAUCAUAUUCUAUAAAAAAAUUUUAAAAAACUAUUUUUUAUAUUUAAAUAAAACUAAUUUUAAAAAAAAUUAAUUUUUUUACACAAACCUUGUAUUGGUAAAAACUUUUCUUAGUAGGAAUUUAUUACAAGUAUAUAUAUAUAUAUAUAUAUAAUUGAGCUUCUAUGCUUUUAAAAGUACCAAGACAAUGGUGCUUGUAAAUUUUUAGUCUUUGGAUUAAGGAAUGUGUGGUUAGGAUGAUAUGGGCCCCCUAGGGUUAAGUACUUAAGUGAGUGGUUGGUUGAAUAGUAUAAUCUAACGGGUGUAAAUGGUCAACAGUCCAGAUUUAACGGCUAAAAACCUACAAGCACGAAGUGGUUGGUCAUUUUAAAAGCACCAUAACCGGACUAUAUAUAUAUAGAGUCCGGCUAUGGUGCUUGUAAAAGCACAAGCACUUGGUGCUUUUAAAUUUUUUUUACCAUUAGAUCUAUAUUUUUGAUCAUUUUUAUCCGUUAGAUUAUACUAUUUAACCAACCACCCAUUCAACCCUAGGAGGCCCACAUCAUUCUAACCGCACAUCCCUUAAUCCAAGGGCCGAAAAUAUACAAGCACCAAUGAUUUGGUACUUUUAAAAGCAUAGGAGCUCAAUUAUAUAUAUAUAUAUAUAUAUAUAUAUAUAUAUAUAUAUANAUGUCGGACCCCUAGGGUUGAGUGAGUUGUUGGUUUAAUAGUAUAAUCUAACGGGUGAAAAUAGUCAAAGGGUUAAAUCUAACGGCGGAAAACUUGAUAGCGCCAAAUGCAUGGUGCUAUCGAUAGUAUCCCAGCUGGACUCUAUAUAUAUAUAUAUAUAUAUAUAUAAUUUAGUUUUCAAAUACUUUUAAUAAUGUAGAUCAGGUCUAACGGAGCCGAUCAUCGAUUUGAAAGCUGCAUCAUUAAAAACAACUUGGUAGCACGGAGGCCAAUUUCAUAAUUUUUCGACAUCAAUUACUAAUCAAACAAGUAGUUUAAAAAUGAACGGUUGAAAAUAAAAAUCUCAUAAAACAUGAUAAUAAAAGACUUGAAUUCAAUAUCAGAGAUACUGAUCUUACUUUAAAUAGUCAAAAGAAUUUUCUAUAAAAAUUUCAUCAGAUUUGAAUUGUUUUACACCGUUAAAUUCACAAACGCAUCACAUCGACCAUUAAAAUUGUCAAUUUUGAGACCUUUUGAUCACCAGUCAAAUGAUGUCGAAAAAUUAUAAAAUUUAGUUUCCAAAUACUAUUAAUAGUGUAGAUUAAGUCUAACGGAGCCGAUCGUCAAUUUGAAAGCUGCAUCAUUGAAAAGAACUUGGUAGUACGGAAACCUCCGUGCUAUCGAUAAUAUACCAGCCUAGCUAUAUAUAUAUAUAUAAUUUAGCUAUUGAUUUAUUUAUUAUUGUUAAUUUGUGUGUGAUCCUAAUUCUCACCAACUGCUGUAAUUGAAACUACAGUCAAUUUGGGUAUAGUUCCAAUUACAGUAUUUUGAUAUUCUUACACAGUUGCAAUUGCAAUAAUUAGACUCAACUGCACUAAAUCAAAUACAAAAAUUAAAAUUAUAUGUAUUUUCAACUGUACUAUAGUUGUAAAUACGUGUAACGAAACGGACCCUUAGUAUAGCAGUACUUGGUACCAUAAGAAGAGACUGAUGAUGUGGGCAUUCCAACUCAUACCAUGCAUGGACAUUUAAUUAAGUGUAUCUGUACGGUACAAUACUACAAUAAGAAGGGACUAAAGUUGAGACGUAAGUCUAUAAUAUAAGAGUUGCAUCAUAGCAUUUAUGUCUAAUUAAUUAUAUAUUAAAAAAAUUGUGAUAGGUGAACUUACGAAAAGCAAUUUAAUUGAUUUAAGAUAUAAAUAUUAUUCAUGCAAUUACUACAUUUUAGACUUUUAGAAAGUCGAGAACGUAAGGCCUUUUUCCGUUCCAACUCAUAUAAUGUAAAAACUAAAAAAUUGGACAGUAAAGUUAAAUACCAGAUGUACGUUGGAGAAAAUGCAAAAUUUUAUGUGAGUUUAUUUACUCACUCAUUAAUUCAUUAUAUAUUUAUUUUUUAUUUUUUAUCUAAUAUUAUUUAUUUAUUUUUAAUUAUUCACUAAUUAAGUUAUUGACGUCAUAUCUUGAGGCCAACGUUUCGCACGGAUUUCUCCUGGGACGGGACGCAAAGGUCUGUUGUUCAUGUGACACAUGAACAUUGCAUGAAAAAAAGGAGAGAAAAAAAAUUUCUUCCCCUCCUUAAAUUCUAUUAAAUUUAUAAUUCUUUUAACUAUGUUCCUGAUUUCUCUAAUAGCUAGGUAUAAAAAAAAACUCCAUCAAUCUCUUUUAUGAUUGUAUUCGCUGAAAGAAAAAUUUUCAUCGUAUUUUAAAAUAAUAUUCUUAAUUAAUUCCAUACGAACGACGAGAUUGUAUUUUUAUUUUUAGUUUUUGAGAAAUAGGUAGCACGCUACUCGCUUCGUUUAUUUUAUUUAGAAAUAAACUUAGCUGGAAAUAUGAAUCAACUAGAAUUCGAACUUGGGUCUUGGGUACCAACCACCAAGCCCUUUGCCACUUACAUUAGGGACAGUCGGUGACGAGAUUGUAUUUUAGGAUAAUACUGUGCACGCUUCCAAAUGAUUCAUUGUUGGCUAUUUUUUUUCAACAAUUUCAGAAUUUUCCAUAACAUUUUUCUUAUGAAUUAAUUUUUUAAUUAUUUAUUUCAAAUUAGUUAAAUAAUUUAAUUAUAAUUGAAUUUUAGUAUGAUUAUUUUCUAACACCAAGCAACAAUUCUACUUGAAUUAGAACACUAUAUGUGCAGAAAUUUUAGAAAAAUUUUAGGCUUGAAUCCGCUGUCCCACUUUGAAACGUAACUGAUCCAACCCUCACGUGUGGAUCUUCCUUGAUAAAUAAGAGAAAGGAGAAGAUGUCGUAAAGUUAUACGCCUAUUAAUUCUUAGUAAGUAUUAUACCGGCCCUCCCUCCCUAACGCAAGUGAGAAAGGAUUUGAUGAUUGGUAUCUGAGGUUUUAAGUUCGAAUCUUAGUUAAUUUAAAUUUCCAACAAAGUUUAUUUUAAAAUAAAAUAAAAGAAACAAAUAGUAUGCUAUCUAUCUUUUAAAAAAAAAAAUUCUUAGUAAAUAUCCUACAGUCCACACCAA